AAAGGAAAAAAGUAUUGAAAUCAUUCAAAGUUGUUUUUUAAUGGACAAAACCAAGUCCAGCACAUUUAAAAUAAUAAUAAAAAAAGAUUAAAAGGGAGUGAGUUAAUUACGUGUAAUGAAAAGAUAGAAAAUGAUUAUUUAUUUGUGUAAAGACAAUCAAUGAAUUCAAAAGACGUAAAGGAAUCCUUUUCUUUUUUCCUCGUUUUUGUCAUGAAAUGAUGUUCAAUCUGUAUAAAACCCGAGAGGAAGCUUUUGGGUAAAGGCAAACCAUUAACCCGGACCCAUCUUGAGAUAAAUACUUGACUCUUUGUAUGAAUAGAGGCUUGGAGCGUAUAAAAUGUAAGUUUAUUUUUGUAUUUUAAAAGUAUUUAAAUUUUUUUAUUUUAAAUUAAAUUUUUUUGUUUAUUAUUAAUUUUUAAAAAAUAAUUAAAAAAAUAUCAUUUUAAUAUAUUUCUAAACAAAAAAUAUUUUAAAAAAUAAUCUCUUAUACCAGACACCCCUGCAAUAUUUGCCGAUUAAAAAGGAAGAUGACCCAUAUUAGGGAUGUGAAAUCCUGGAAAUUAAGGGCAUAAAUAAUUUACAAUCUACACUGCAAUAACUUAACUAGGGCAAGGUCAUGAGAUCAAUCAUGGUGGCAUGCGCAUUUUCUCAAUUUUGCACACAGUAGGAUAAUUUUAUUAGUAGAAUAUUGUGCGUUAAUUAUUGAUAAACAUCCGUAAAGAACACUGGACCUCCUUAGCAAAGCCGUUUAGAUAAUUCAUAGGUUACAUUAUUACUAGCGAGAGAUCUAGUUUUAUGGAAAAUUAAUUUAAUUUGGAUAUAUGAACAGUAAAAACAAAAAUUUAUAUUAAUCAAGUGCUAUUAAUUUUUUUUUUAUUAAUUAUUUCUGAAAUCCUCAGAUUAACACGUAAAUUAAUUCGGAAAUAUUACAAGAGUACUCUCACGCCAAUUACAAGCCUAGAAGCAGUUUUAGUAGAUAAGGGUUUACCUGUUAUUGGGUUAAUCAUAAUGGUUUAAAAUAUUUUUUAUUUAAAAAUAUAUUAAAAUAAUUUUUUUUUAUUUUUUUAAUAUUAAUAUAUCAAAAUAAUCUCAAAAUAUAAAAAAAUAUUUUAAACAAAAAAAUAUUUUAAAAUUUAAAAGAUGGCGGUGCAAAUAAACUCAGGAGGGCUCGCUUCUUUUCUCUUACUUCUCCGGUUCAGACAUAAAUAAUUAAUAUCUAGAAUUUACUUUUACUUUUCUAAGCACACCAAAUCAAGAUGAAAGUGAAAAAUAUGUCACUAAAGGUAGUCAGGAAGAGAAUUUGAUUUCGAACUAGUAAUUGUCUUUUAUUUAUAAAUAUAUUAAAAUGAUUUAUUUUAACUUUUUUUAUAUUUAACACCAACAAAUUCAAAUUAUCAUAAAACAUUUUUAAAAAAUAUUAAUUUAAUUUUUUCUUGAAAUAAACACCUUUAUAAAAUGAAUUCAAAGGCAAAAACAACCAAUAUUGUUUUUGGAUAGAGAAGAAAUAAUUAUCUAUAAAAAAGGACAAGAUAAAAAAAAUACUGAUUAAGCAUCCACUAAUUCAAGUUCAGCUAAUAGAUGACACCUUUCUUACUUUAUAUUUCAUAUAAUAAAAUUCGAAACAUCAUCAAUUUUAGUCUCACGGAUUACGCUAAGACCUUUUCGAAUAAAUGAAUCACGCAGCAUAUCUGAAUAUCUUCAAAACACGGGUCAACACCGACUUCAAGUGGUUAAUCAGCAUGCAAAAUCAAAGAAAGAAGGCUCGUCCUGCCGAAUCAUGUAGAAUUUUUGCACCAGAACCAUGACUGCCAUUUUUUCCUUGUCUUCCUAACGCUCAAGAGGUCGUUAACCUACCGGAACAGAUUAGGGUUUAUGCCAGUGGAGAAGAGCCGAACACAAAAUGAAAAAUCCAUGGGAGUCAACAAGCAAAUCCAUAGUGAUGGAUGGCCUCGCAUGUGCUUCAAUUCAGUGUGUUUAUAGAGUUAUUUCAGGACCCACAGAUUAUCCGCUCUAGAUUGCAUGAUUACUUGUCAGACAAGAACCCACAAAACUGGAUCGUCUGAUAUGGAUGUAAGGCAUGAUGGUUGGACAGCUACUGAAGCUGUCUCGGCCAUUUUGUGGGUCCCCACUCCUUGCCAAGAGUUUGGUGGGACAUUUGUAUAAUUCUGGAGGGCCCCCCAAGUCCCAUCAUUCAUGACGUGCUCUAUCUUAAUCCAAUUAAUGUACGAGCAUGAUCUUAGUUUUCACACGCAUAUCUGGAGAGUGUUUUUUUCUCUCUUUCUUUUUUUAUGACAUGAUUAUUGACUGUAAAAUAUAAUUUAUAAACCAGCCCAGUUGAUUUUUUUUUUAAGAAGAAUUGCUUGGAGGAUUUUUAUGGAUAAGAGUUAUCAAACGUAUAUUACCUAAUAUCGGACAAGAUUUUAUAGGUACAUCUUUAUAAGUUUUUCCUAAUAAAUACCAAAUCAAGAAAAACAUACAAGAAUGAUAAAGACUGAGAAAGAUUAGGUAAUAAAAAAUUUAUCAUAACAUGUUCCAGUUAAGACGUGCUGGGUCUAGCGACAGCUAGACCCAACUUUAGUUAAAUUUGGUGGUAUGUCAAACCCCAAACAUGUUGAGUCUGAUCAUUGUUAAACCUAAAGGUUGUUUGGGUCUAGCACUGUUCAUAACUAAAGGUUACUGGGUGUGGCCAACGCUAGUCCCAUAUAUUGUCGGGUCUGACAGAUGAUGCAAGACGCCACCCGGGUCUAACAUGUGUUGCCAAGCCUGAUAGCUUGGCAUGAUGCACUAUUAGGUUAACGGGGUGGGCCUCGCACAUGUUUUCUGAAAGUAUCGAGCCCAAAGAUUUUUGUCAUUGGGCAUGGCCAGAUUCGCAACACUCACAUAUUCAAGCAUAAUACUUGAAUUUAACGUCAUCAAUUCAAUAGAUUUUUAUAUAAAAUCUCAAAGGAUUUACUUCUCAACAAAUAUGCUUCAUUAAACAAGUCUACACUCCGCCAACACCAUUAGGUGUAUUAAAGUCUUUCAUGACUCGUCAUGUCUCUAUUUUUUUGCCGGAUAAAAUGAGUGGGUUACAACUCACAAUACAACUUAAAAUAUCACAAAAGUGAAAUUACACUUCAGUCCCUCAUCUCCAUAAAAAAGACAAGACUCAUAGGUUAACAAUCUUCAUUUUCUAUUGCAUAUAUAUUUUUAGAGCAUCUCUCUGGAAUAUUAUUGUAUUUUUUUAUAAAAAAAAUAUUUAUUUGAGCAUUAAAGAGUCCUCACAUCCACCAAAAAAGAUUUUUUAUAGGUACUGGUAGUGGUCACAAACUACUUUGACCUACCAAACAUCAAGUAUAAGCUAUCAACUACAUUGAGCAGGGAGAAUUAAUGAGGUUAUUAAAACCAAUUGAUUAAUCAAUUAUACAACCUGAGAUUUAUGUUCUUAAACUACUUUGAUUUUUGGGACUUCAUCGUCCUUUUCGUUCAGAAAUUAGUAAUGGAAUCAAUAAAUAGCAUAUUUUCAGGAACAUAUCAAGCUUUAAAGGUUUAGUCAUUGUAUCAGCAACUUGCUCCUGCAUAUGACAAUGCACUAUCUCUAAAAUUCUUAGCCUUGAAGUCCCUUUGGUUUGGCAUCAUCAAUAACCUUCUUUUGUCCUUCUCUGAGUUUUGCUCCUGCUGCUACUGUGGACAUCCCUUGUUCUAUCAAGCUCCGAUACUCACUCAACCGCAAAAAAUUCUUUACGACCAUACACAAGUGAUUGUAGUGUCCAUCAAGCUUUGAAAUUGUUGGUUGGACAAAGUUACUUUCGGUUGUUAUUAUCGUUUUGUUUGUUUUUUGUAUUUUAAAAAUAUUUUUUUAAAAAAUUAAUUUUUAUUUUAUUUUAUUUUUUGCUUCAAAUUAAUAUUUUGUACUGUUUUUAAAUUAUUUUGAUGCACCGAUAUCAAAAAUAAUUUUUAAAAAAUAAAAAAUAUUAUUUUAAUAUAUUUCUGAGUAAAAAACACUUUUAAAAAAAACCACAACCACAAUCCCAAAUAGACUAACAUGUUUAUGUUUAGAAGAUUGUUGCUUCUCAAGUCUAGAUCAAAUUAUAAAAAAUUAUGGUUAAACCUGAUUUUUAAAAUAUUUUUCAAUCUAUUUUUAUUUAUAAACAAAUUUAAAUUAACAUGUUUAGAUAUUUUUUAAUAAUUUUAACAUGCUAAUAUUAAAUGUAAAAAAUAUUUAAAAAAAUAUUUUAAUAUAUUUUUAAUUACAAAUUACUUUUGAAAACAUCUUCCAUCGUAUUACGAAAAUUGUUACUAAUCAGGAUUUUCACAAUUUCCUUUUUCAGUUUUUACGAAUUAGAAUGUGGAAUUUGGAGACUGCAGCACCAAUCUACCCCGGUGAAGAAAAAGUCCAAUUUUUUUUUGGAUUUGGACAGGAAAACUUUAAACUUUUGUUGCCUAACAAAAAGUCAGUAACAGUUGAAGGCACUAAACAAGGAGAGAAACUAGCCAGCCAAGCCCACCUCCACCCUCCACCCUCCACCCUCCACCCCCUUCCCCAGAGAGAGAAGCUAACGAUAACGCCAAGCAGACUCACCCAUUCCUUACAUAUAUUGAUAGAGAGAGUGAGUGAGUGUGAAAGGUACAACCUUUGCAUCCAUAUACAGGUUAGAGAGAGAGAGAGAUGAAAUGAGGGCUUGCCUUGUCAGCCAUUAGAGCUUCAAUUCGUAGCUCGGGCCCGACCCUUUUUAAUUCACAUAAAGACUACACAGUUUUCACUGUUUUUGUUUCAAUAUCUCAUUAGAAAACCAUAAAAGAUCUCUCCCUUUUCCUUUUGCUUGUUUAUUUUUUUGAAAAGCAAAUAAGAAAGAGAGUGGGAGAAGGAAGAAAAAAAGAUAUCUUUCUUGCUACAAAAUCCUAGGCCUUUUGAUCCUAAGAUCCCCACCAUUUAUGCUGAAAGCUGAACUGGGUUGGCUGCAGUUUUCUCUAUUGAUUCAUGAAUUCCAUGGUUUUUUUAGCCUUAUGGUCUCAAGGAGUUACGGGGAACUGGUGCAGUUGUUGCCUUAGUAUCUCUUCUUUGACGAGUGAUUGGUUAUCUGGCUUUAACAGGUAUAUCUCUCGUUCUUCAAUUGUUAGCUUAUUCUGUGUGUUGAUUUGCUUGCUUAAAUUGGCGUCUCUGCUUGUCUGAUAUGUGAAUUCCUGCAGAAAUUUUCUCUUUGGUAAUUUGGCUUCUUAUAUUUAGAGUCGUUGCCUUGUUUCUUCUAAAUGAGUACUGUUGCUUCUAUGUUUGUCCCGGGAUUAGGAUUUCUAUGAAUUGUAUGUGAUUGAAUUUCCAGGCUCAAAAAAUUCCUACAAACUAAAAUUCCACAUUAAGAGAUUCAACAAACCAAAUUCAUAUUUAGUUUGUGACGUAUCAUAGCUCUUGAAUUCUUUGAAUACUGAAACGAUUGGUGUUCUUUCUAGUAGUAAUUACUUUUCUCUAUCAUACUCACAGUUGAGUUCCUUUUAACAGGAGAAUGGUUUGUUAAACAAUUUCUUAUUAUAAAAAAAAUACCACAAUCGUUUUAGAGUUCCCAUUCUUCUUCCAGUUGUUAAAUGUUGCACUAUUUGGUUGAUGCUUGUCAUAGAUUUGGUUCUUUGACAAUUCACAAUUGUGAUCCAAAUUUCUAAAGUAUCCCCUGAUGUGCAGGUGUUUACAUGAUGAUAUUAUUCUGAAAUUUCAAUAAGGUGGAGGGAUACCAAUAUGUCAGCAUAUUUCAGAUCAAGUGGAGUAUUUGAAUUGGGGCUUGCUGGAAUUUUGCUUGUUACCUUCCUAUUGAUAUUUACCACAGAGGGGUUGAAUUCUGAUGGGCAUCACCUCCUAGAGCUGAAGAAUGCCCUCCAUGACGAGUUCAAUCAUCUGCAGAAUUGGAAGUCCACUGAUCAGACACCAUGCAGCUGGACUGGCGUGAGUUGCACUUUAGACUAUGAGCCUUUGGUCUGGUCUCUUGAUUUGAACUCAAUGAAUCUUUCUGGGACACUGAGCCCCGGUAUUGGUGGUUUGGUCAACCUUAGAUAUUUUGAUCUUUCUCACAAUGAAAUCACCGGAGAUAUACCUAAAGCGAUUGGAAAUUGUUCCCUGUUGCAAUACUUUUAUUUGAAUAACAAUCAGUUGAGUGGGGAAAUUCCUGCUGAACUGGGUAGAUUGUCUUUUCUUGAACGUUUGAAUAUAUGCAACAACCAGAUAUCUGGUUCACUUCCAGAGGAGUUUGGCAGAUUGUCUUCAUUGGUUGAGUUUGUGGCUUAUACCAACAAGCUGACUGGCCCGUUGCCUCGUUCCAUAAGGAAUCUUAAGAAUUUGAAAACAAUCCGUGCAGGGCAGAAUCAAAUUUCUGGUAGUAUUCCUGCUGAAAUAAGUGGUUGUCAAAGCUUGAAAUUGCUUGGUCUUGCCCAAAAUAAAAUUGGAGGGGAGCUGCCAAAGGAGCUUGCGAUGCUAGGGAACUUAACUGAAUUGAUUUUAUGGGAGAACCAGAUCUCGGGGUUAAUACCAAAAGAGCUUGGGAACUGUACAAACCUUGAGACACUUGCUCUUUAUGCAAAUGCCCUUGCUGGACCAAUACCAAUGGAAAUUGGGAACCUGAAGUUUCUGAAAAAGCUGUACCUCUAUCGGAAUGGAUUGAAUGGAACUAUUCCAAGAGAAAUUGGAAAUCUUUCAAUGGCAACAGAAAUCGACUUCUCAGAGAAUUUUUUGACUGGCAAGAUCCCAACUGAGUUCAGUAAGAUAAAGGGUCUACGACUUUUGUACCUCUUCCAGAACCAACUUACUGGUGUCAUACCAAAUGAGCUUAGUAUCUUGAGGAACCUGACUAAGCUUGACCUCUCAAUUAAUCACCUCACUGGUCCUAUUCCUUUUGGGUUUCAAUAUUUGACUGAAAUGCUUCAGUUACAGCUUUUUAACAACUCUCUGAGUGGUGGCAUUCCUCAGCGGCUUGGACUUUAUAGCCAACUCUGGGUGGUUGAUUUUUCAGAUAAUGAUCUGACUGGAAGAAUACCUCCUCAUCUUUGCCGUCAUUCUAAUCUGAUUUUGCUGAAUCUGGAUUCUAACAGGCUAUAUGGAAAUAUCCCGACUGGGGUCCUGAACUGCCAAACAUUGGUACAACUUCGUCUUGUUGGAAAUAAGUUUACAGGUGGCUUUCCUUCAGAGUUGUGCAAAUUGGUGAACCUUUCUGCUAUUGAACUGAACCAGAAUAUGUUUACUGGUCCACUUCCACCAGAGAUGGGGAACUGCCGAAGGUUGCAAAGACUUCAUAUUGCAAACAAUUACUUUACUUCAGAGUUGCCAAAGGAAUUAGGUAAUCUGUCUCAACUUGUGACUUUUAAUGCAUCAUCAAAUUUGCUCACCGGAAAGAUUCCACCUGAAGUUGUUAACUGCAAGAUGCUUCAACGACUCGAUCUCAGCCACAACAGUUUUUCUGAUGCUUUACCAGAUGAGCUUGGAACUCUUCUUCAAUUGGAGCUUCUUAGGCUUUCAGAAAAUAAAUUCUCUGGAAAUAUACCCUUGGCAUUAGGAAAUCUCUCCCAUUUGACUGAAUUGCAGAUGGGUGGCAACUCAUUUUCUGGUCGAAUUCCUCCCUCAUUGGGCUUGCUUUCAAGCUUGCAGAUUGGAAUGAAUCUCAGUUAUAAUAGUCUUACUGGCAGCAUACCACCAGAGCUUGGCAAUCUUAAUUUACUGGAAUUUCUCCUGCUCAAUAACAAUCAUUUGACCGGUGAGAUUCCCAAAACAUUUGAAAAUCUGUCGAGUUUACUGGGAUGCAACUUCUCAUACAAUGAGCUCACUGGGUCUUUGCCUUCCGGAUCACUAUUUCAGAACAUGGCCAUCAGCAGCUUUAUUGGAAACAAAGGGCUUUGUGGUGGGCCUCUUGGCUACUGCAGUGGAGAUACAUCUUCUGGUUCUGUUCCACAGAAAAAUAUGGAUGCUCCUCGAGGUAGGAUCAUCACAAUUGUUGCAGCCGUUGUUGGUGGUGUUUCUCUCAUUCUGAUUAUAGUGAUACUAUAUUUCAUGAGACAUCCCACUGCGACAGCCUCUUCGGUACAUGAUAAGGAGAAUCCAUCUCCAGAAUCAAAUAUCUACUUCCCUCUAAAGGACGGAAUCACCUUCCAAGAUCUGGUUCAGGCCACCAACAAUUUUCAUGACAGUUAUGUUGUUGGAAGGGGAGCUUGCGGAACAGUUUAUAAGGCAGUUAUGCGUUCUGGGAAAACCAUUGCUGUGAAAAAGCUUGCUUCUGAUAGGGAGGGGAGUAGCAUUGAGAACAGUUUUCAGGCUGAGAUUCUGACUCUCGGAAAGAUUAGGCACCGAAAUAUUGUGAAACUUUAUGGCUUCUGCUAUCACGAAGGUUCCAAUCUGCUUCUUUAUGAGUACUUGGCUAGGGGGAGCUUGGGUGAACUGCUUCAUGGGCCCUCUUGUAGCUUGGAAUGGUCAACUCGAUUCAUGGUUGCUCUUGGAGCUGCUGAAGGUCUUGCUUAUUUACAUCAUGACUGCAAACCAAUUAUUAUUCACCGUGACAUAAAGUCAAAUAAUAUUCUACUAGAUGAUAACUUUGAAGCCCAUGUUGGUGAUUUUGGUUUGGCAAAAGUGAUUGACAUGCCCCAGUCCAAAUCCAUGUCAGCAGUCGCAGGAUCAUAUGGGUAUAUUGCACCUGGUGAGCCCUUCCUCAAUUCAGAUUUAAUAAAAUUAUCUUUCUUUUGUUAAUGAUGGUUUUAUUUCUUUUAAGGUUGUAUAAGUUAUUUAUUUUCUUGAUAUUUCUCUGCUGCUGAUAUAGUUUAACUAAAUGAAAAAAGUAGUAGAUGUCAACUUUGUUUAUCAGAGAAGAAAACUUUCAUUUCUGUUAUAAUACGUUCUUAACAUUCACACACCAUCUGCUUAGCAUAGUCAAACUCAAUGGAUGUUAGAGAAGAGAUAUAAGCUUCUAACUUAUUCGUGGCUUGCCUCUUAUUCACUGCAGAAUAUGCGUACACAAUGAAAGUUACUGAAAAAUGUGACAUCUAUAGCUAUGGAGUUGUUCUAUUGGAGUUGCUAACUGGAAAAACUCCUGUACAGCCACUAGAUCAAGGAGGUGAUCUUGUCACAUGGGCGAGACAUUAUGUUCGGGACCAUUCAUUGACAUCCGGGAUACUAGAUGAUCGAUUGGACCUUGAAGACCAAAGCACUGUUGCUCACAUGAUUAGUGCAUUGAAAAUUGCUCUACUUUGCACGAGUAUGUCACCUUUUGAUCGGCCAUCGAUGCGGGAAGUUGUGUUGAUGCUUAUUGAGUCUAACGAGAGAGAAGGUAAUUUGACUCUGUCUUCGACUUAUGAUUUUCCGUGGAAAGAUGAUAUUUCACGAAAAUAGGUGACCAUUUCCCAGAUUUUAUUAACUGAGAUGGUUUUUCGGUGCUGAUUCUUCCUGAUAUGAUUUGCAACAGCAAGUGAUUACAUCAUGUACAUUUUUUUAUAAGAAAAGAUCCUUACCUUUUCCGUUAUGGCUCAUGAGGGUAAUUGAUGUUACUCUCAAAAUCUGUAUUUUGUCUUGCAAUCAGUAUAGGCUCGACCUUUUGUACAGAUAGAAGUACCAACCUCCCAUACAUGUAUUUUACAGAUCUUGAUGUGAUAAAGUUUCAUGAGUACUCACCAAAUACCAGUUCCUGUUAUUUCUUCUGUCAUUAAUUUUAAUUUUUUAAGCUAUAUAUAGCUAUAAAGUCUGAAUUGUAGCUACUGUUACUCUCUAUCUCCUCUGAUUAUAAUUUACGAGGUUAACAUAACUUUCUGAUGGUGUUGGUUGCUAUGGUGAAAUCUUACUAAAUGUCCCUUCAUAUAUGGAUGCGAGAAGCGAUUCUUUAGACAUUGCUUUCCAAAUUUCUUAUAUGGGCAUGCCUGUAGCCAGAUUGAAGAGGUGGACUUGGUAAACCAACUUCAAUGGAGAAAUGGGUAAUUUGAAUGGACUCUUAGUUUAAAUAGUAAUGGCUACUUGAUAGGUAUUAAGAGAUUAUGAAUUCAAUCAUUGUCACUUGGUUUCUCUGUAGAUUUACAGGAAAAGAUGGAAAAUAACACAGCAAAAAUGGGUAACCAUGAAAGAAAAAGAAAAUAACAAGCAAGCAAUAUUAUUGCAAUUAUGUCUUCCUUAUUAUUUAUGAUUGUUUAUUGAAUUGGAAAACUUCCAUUACCACUGAUACGCCCGAUUCCAAUUGCUGUUCCCGUUGCUAGAAUCGAACCCAUCCUCCCUGACAGGCCACAUGAAAUGCUUUCUGCUGCAUCUGUUCUCGUCUCUUUUUGCACUAAAUGCAUCAAUAUCUGUUUUAAGGUGGAACUGUUGUUUCCGAGACAGAUAUUGGACUCCGAGGUCCUUGCUUUUUGUCCUUGCAGUGAACCAUCAAUUUGUUUGCCGGGUCACCAGGCAAGUCAUUAAAUCGAUGGAUAUUAAUUAUUAAUCAAUAAAAAAGAAAUUAAAAACUACACAACCAUUUGUUAUCAAACUGUUAUCUCAUUGACAACCAAAACUCUGUGAUACAAAUAUUAUAUUCAUCAUAUUGUAUGUACAUGCUUAUUUUCCAAACAAAUUCAACGACAAUAACAAAAGUAAUCUAUGGAUAUAAAUGCAUUCGGUACGAGAAUAGAAACUAAAAAUCACUCAGUUUCCCAUCUGUAUUUUCUCACCCACUUGGCUUUAUCCCAGCUAAUAAAGAACCCAUCUUCUUCCACCAUCCAAAACAGAGUUUCAUGAUUCCCAUCUCUACGAGGUUGAAAUGCAUGCCAGGAUGCAAAAAAUCUUUCCCAGAUAGCUACACAGUAGUGUAGCUUCCUCUUUGACACCCUCCAUUUGUAGACUUCACCAUUAACGAGUGACUGCUCUCCGAUAUCAAUAUUGUUGGAUGAGCAGCUGACAUUCAUUGCUUUUGAGCUUUUAGGCAAGGCAUUGAUAACGUAAACAGUGGGUAAAGGAUGGUCAUCAUGCUCAUUUGUUGUUGCAGUACUCAAAAAGCACAGUUGGAGAACAAGGAAGAGAAGAAAGUUGAUCCAAGAAGUCAUCAUUUUGUUAGGACUGGUGCUCUGCCUGAUUAGUCUGCUAUCCUUUUUAUAAGAACUUUGAAAUAUUGGAAUUAAUCUUGAAGUUUUAAGAAAAUAUAAAACUGAGUUUAUUUAAAUAGUGAGUUUAAAAAAAAUGCAUGAAUGAUUGUUUCCACUAGAAUAAAAAAGUUUAGUCAAUGUACUCGUCGUGGGAUUAGAAACUUAGCAAUAAUUUCUUUUUUGUUAAGUAUAUAUAAAGAUUUAGUUAUUAAAUCGAGACAGACAAAUAUAGAUAAAGAAGAUAUGUUUCUUUCGUAUAUUUUAUUUUUUUUAAAAAAAAAGUAGAAAUCCAUUCAAAUAUCAUCAUAAAAUAUAUUUAUUUUAUUUUCAUUUCCUGUCUUUCUAAUCAAACAUAUUUCUAUAUCUUGUGUAUCUUUUUUUUUUCAAUUACACCCUCCAUUCAAGGAAGGAAAGAGACAUUUCCUUUUCUUUUUGUGCGGCUCUGUAUGUUGUUGAUUAAAGGAUAAGUACCGUUUUGAAAUCAUAAUUCUUAUAUAAUUAAAUAUUAAUUCUCCCAGACAAAACUUUCCCGGCAUGCGGUUCGAAUCACUCAAGUGUUCAUGGAUAAAGGGACCGUAACCAUGAUUCCAUGAUGACAGUCUAAAUAGUUAUACCUAACGGGCUAACACCAACGAAGAACAAGUGGAGUAAUCUCUUAUGGGACGAAGAAACACCAAUUAAAUAUCCAGGGAUUGUUGGGGAGGUGGGUUGCUAAGACAGUGGAAAUUAAGGUAGGCAUAUGCAAUUAUGAUCCUGCGGAGUUAAAGUUGGGCUCAAUUUAGCAUGGAUGGGUUACUAAAGAAAAGUCAUCCAAGAGCAUAUGGAGGGGGCUCUCAAUGCUGCCGUCUCUGGGCGUUUCUGUGCUGAUGGUGAAACUGCUAUUCAUUUUACUGUGAAGGAAAUAUGUUCAAAGGGAAGGGAGUUUCUGUGCUGAUUUGCUCGCAAAUAUUGGAGCGAGUGGGAACUGUGCAUCAGUUGUUUUUCACCAUUUUCACCUCCUGGUCCUGCGUGGUGGAGUUUGCUCUGGGCGGAUUUUUGUGCCUCAGCUAUAUUGCGUGUAAGGAAAUGCAGUAAAAGUUAAGAUUGAGGUUAAGUAUAACUUAAGAAUGCAUAAACUUCACCCAUAAAAAAUAGCUUUUUUAUUUAUAAAUAAAUAUAAAAAAGUAAGAGAUUAAUGUCUAGAUUCUUAUUAAUUUAUUUUCCACAUAUACAAGUUAUGUAAUUUGUUUUACAUACUUAACAUUAAAUCGGUAGAUAUGGCAGAUUUUAAUGAAUCAUGAUACCAAGUUUUUUGGGUACCCAAGAUCUUAUACUGUAAAUCAUAUAUAUUAUCGCCGAAAUUGUAGUAUAUAUUGUCUUAUAAUAUAAUGACCUUAAUAUUAAUCAUAAGUAAUAAUAACUAAAAAAAAAUAUGUUAAUCACAUAAAUUAGAUAUUUGAAAAAAUAUUAUUUUAAAUAAAUAUAUUUUGUAAAGUACAAUAUUUGAACCGAUUGAAGAUAAGUUUUUGGAAUAAUCUUACACCUAUAAAUCGAAAAGACUAGGAAAUAAGAAAAAAAAUGAGAAAAUUAGUAAUAUUUUAUUAAUUAUUCCAAAAACUCACUUUAAAAAACCUAGAAGAUAGUAAUGAAAUAUCACUUAGUUAUUAUAUUAACAUUAUAUAAUUUCUUCUUAAUUACCAUAAAGUUUUCGUGACGAUGAUUAAAGCAAGUCAAACCUGCUCCCAUACCUGUCCUCUAAUUCCGAUCAAAUUAAAUCCAGUCUGAUUGGGGCUGUUAAUAUAAUUUUAUUUUAUUUUUUUCAUAGGAGUUUAUUUUAUAUAUAAAAGAAAGGUUCGGAUUAAUUUUGUUUUUUAAAAGGAGACACUACUGUUAAUUUUUUUUUUAAUGUGAGUGUCUGGGUCAAUUUGCGCGUACCUCGACUAAUCCUAUAGGCUCUGAAGUUAACGAUCAUGUAAGCCGCUAGUGGUCAUGAUUCAUGAGGUUUUGUGAGACUCGAACUAGUGAUUUUUAGAAAACAAAUCUAGAACCUGACCAGUUAAUGCUAUACCUCUCAUGGUUCUAUUAACCAUUUUAUUGACCCUGUACAUGUUAGUUAACACAUUAAAGAGAUUCAUAAUUAAAUUUUAGAAUUGCAAUUCCAACAUGUGAGAGUAGGCAACGAGUAGCCAUGAACACACCUUUUAAUAUCCCUUUCGUUCCUUGCUUACCAAGGCAUUGUUUCUUGGGUUAUGAAAGAUACGAGAAAACAUCAUUGAAAAGGGGAGAGGAUAGAGGAAGGGUCGCCAGUCUAGCCAUAUUUUAACUAUAAAAAGCUUGAUUUUAGCGCUAUUUGAUUUGUAUUGGAGAUAGCAGUUCAAUGAAAGUGAUGGUUCUGAUCUUUGGAUAUACUGAAAAAAAAAUAUCAGGCUCAUAAUUGUUUUUUAAUUUGAUUGAAUUUUUUAUUUUUAAAAUAAUUAAAAAAUAUUUUGAGGUUAAAAGAGGCUUAUCAUAGUUCAUAAAAGCAAUAAAAUGCUUUUAAAAUGUUUUCAAGUAAAAAUAAAUUGAAAUUGAGUUUUUGAAUCCAAUUUAAAAAUAUUAAGUAAUACUCUAAAAGAUGUGGGAAAACUACCACGCCUUUCACUUUCCUAUCUUUAAUAUAUUAUAUUAUUAUAAUUAUUAUAUUAUAUUAUAAUAUAUACUAAAAAUUAAAUGAAAUGCUAAAAUUUUUUUUGAGUUUUUUUGUUUUUUUUAAUGAAAUUUUUUGUUUGAUCCUGGGUUUGAUGGGUUAGUCUGGUUUGACGCGUUAACUUGAAUUUUUUUUUAAUUAAUUUUUUUCAUUUAGUUUAGUUUGUUAUUGUUAAAUUUUUUUAUAUUUAAUUAUCAGAUUUUCAUGACACGUAUCCCGGACUUGACGGGUUAACCCAAUUAAUUUUGGGUAAACCCGUCAAUUGUUUUUUUCUAUUUAGUUAUCAAACUUUCAUGACGCGAAACCUGGUUUGAAGGGUUAACCCAGUUAAUUUAGAUUUUUUUCUUUUUCUUUAUUAGUUUUUUUCUUCCUAUUGGUUUUUUUUCCUUUGUUUUUUUUAAUUAAUCUAUUUAAUUAUCACACUUUUAUGACACAACUUUAUAGCUCGACCCACAUUCAAUGCUCUAGGGUCCGGUGUUGCGGCCAGGCUCACUUAAACUUAAGUCAUGUAAGUUUAAUGUUAUUAUUAAUAUUAUAAAUAGUAUUCUUAAGUCAAGCGUUGCAGCUAGACCCAAGGCUUUUGGGUAUAUCUUUGCAGAAAGACCUAACACUCUUAGAUCUUAGCAUUUUUUGAUAUUUUUUUAUGCAAGAAAAAAAAAUUAACCCGUGGCGUAUGCCUUUGUUUUUUUUUUCCUUUUUAAGCCUUUUACUUUGAAUAACACAGUGCAAUCUACAGUGAAAAAGCUUAUGCUUUUAGUUUAUUUUUUUCUAUAGUUUUUUAAUAUUAAAUUUUUUCUGUUUAAUUAUCAUGCUUUCAUGACACGGAUCCCAGGUUUGAUGGUUUAACCCAGUUGAUUCAGAUUUUUUUUUCUUUUUCUUCAUUAGUUUUUUCCUUCCUGUAGGUAUUUUUCUCUUUGCUUUUUCCUUUUUAAUUAAUCUUUUUUUUUAAAAAAUUAGUUCAUUAAUAUUAAAUCUUUUUUCUAUUUAGUUAUCACACUUUCAUGACACAAAUCCCAAGUUUGACCGGUUAACCUGAUUUGACGAGUUAAUCCAAUUGAUUCAUAUUUUUUUUUCUUUUUUCUCAUUAGUUUUUUUUUUCUAUUGGUUUUUCUUUCUUUGUUUUUUUUCUUUUUAAUUAAUUUAUUUAAUUAUCACACUUUUAUGACACGACCUUGCAACCAUACCUACAUCCAAUGCUAUUGGGUCUGGUAUUGCAGCCAAACCCACUUAAACUUGGGUAAUGCAAGUUUAAUGUUAUUAUUAAUAUUAUAAAUAUUACUCUUAGGUCAGACGUUGCAGCCAAACUCAAGACUCUUAGGUAUAGCUUUGCAGAAAGACCUAACACUUUUAAAUCUUAAUUAUUUUUUAUUUUUUUUACGCAAAACAAAUUAACUCGCGGUAUCGCGCGGGUCAUGUAACUAGUAACUAUGAAUUACAUGUUGCUUGAUCAAUUUUUUUUUAAAAAAAGUCGAAACAACCCUUGAUUUUUUUACUUUUGUUUUUAACUAUUUUUUAAAAUACAAUAAAUAUUUGGGGUAGUACCUCCAAAAGUUUAUUUUAUUGUAAUUUAUACAUAAUUUCUUUUCCUGCUAAAUUUAAAAUUGAUGAGUUAUAUUUGUAUUAUGCAUUUAUAAGAACAAAAAUAAUAUGUAUUUAGCAACCAAUAUAGAUUAAAAAAAAUAAAAAAUAAAAAAGAUGAUUUAAGUAAAAUAUUUGCAUUUAUAUCUAUCUUUUACUAUUUACAUGAGAAAAUUAACUUUUUACUCUUAUCUUUAAUUACCAUUCAAAAUUAAUUUAUCAAGUAAUACAAUUUUUUAAUUUAUUAUAUUAAACACAAACAUAUCUUUCCAUUUCUUAGGUAAAAAAAUUCAUGAUAUUAAAAAAACAAAUCCAUAAUGACAGUGUCUUCUUAUCUUGCAUUCAAAAUCAAUUCGAAAUACUAUGCACAGUGCAGUACGGUUACAUCAAAUAAUACAAGUAGCAAUAACAAUAAAUUUAUUAUUAUUAUUAUUAUUAUUAUUAGAUAGAAUUGUAUGUGCUAGAUUAAUGCACUUGCUCCGACACUACAGCAAACACGAACAUAAGAAAUCACUCAGUUUCCCAUGGAUCUUCCAGCACCCAACUGGCUUUAUCCCAGCUACGAUAGAACCCAUCUUUCUUCACCAACCAAUACACAGCUCCAUGAUUCUCAUCUCUAGGUAGUUCAAAACCAUGCCACGAUUCAAAAUAUCGUUGCCAUUGAGCUGCGCAGGAAUAUAUAUCCUUUCCCUUGACUUUAAAUUCGUAGGCUUCACCCACAGAAAAUGAGCGCGCGCCCAGUUUGAUGUUCUUGGAAGAACAGCUGACAUUCAGUGGUGGUGAGUUCGGUGGCAAAGAAUUGAUGAUUUGAACAGUUGGUAGAAUCUGCUCGGCCUCAUCUUCAAUUGGUCUCGCACUCAAAACACAGAGUGCAAAGUUGAAGAAGAGAAGAAAGUGGAUCCAAUCAGUGGCCAUGAUGUAUUAAGAGAAAGCAAAUUUCUUUCGACAGUGUGAAGAUAUUAUUUAUCAAAAUACAUGCAGUAGAUAUCUUCUGUAGAGAGAGCAUAUAUAAUAUCGAAAAACUUGCAACUAUAGAAAUUUAUAAAGUCCAGCAUUAAUUUUCUUUUAUAUUCUUUCUUUAGUAAUUGAAAUUUCCACAUUUUCUUAUAUAGAAAGUCCAAGAAUUCAAGAAAUUUCUGAAUAUCUUUCCUGACAUGCAUCCGAAGAUUUCUAUUUACAGGGUGGCUUGAGAAUCAAAAUAUUAAUUAUUCAUAAUUCAUGAAUGAAUAAUCAUAGUUAAUGAAAAUUUAUAAAUACAUUGAUUCUUAUCAUAUCAUAAUUAAUGUAUUUGUUUAUGUAUCAAAAUAUUUCAGGGAAUAAAAAUUACUAAUCAAAUAUGGACUUAAUAAUAAAAAAAUAUUUUUCAUUAAUGAAACUCAAGCCAUUGUGCACAAAACUUUUAUUAUUCAAAGAUUCUUUGAGAACAAUUUAUGAUUCAUCUUUAGUUGAUUUUUAAACAUGUUGAUAUUACAUGUUAAAGUACUCAUAUUGAAUUGCAAAAUUCAACAUGGUUUUAGCCCAAAUAUAAAUGGACCUCACAUUUAAUUUGAUCUCAAAAGUGUUUAUUACAUGUUUUAUAACAUAAAAUAAUUUUUAAAAUAAUUUUUAAACUUAUAUAGAAUUAUUUUUUGCCAACCCAUUUUUUAAUUAUCCAGUUCAACAAUUUUCUUCUUUAACUUGAAUAAUUUUGAUUUAAAUAAAAAAGUUCAAUUUUAAAGCCAAAAUCUUUCAUGUUAAUUUUGUUUAAUCCGAUAAAUAGUGCAAAUUAUUUAUAAUAAUUAUCAAAAUUAAUUAUAAAUUAAUUUUUAUUCUAAAAUCAACUAUGAAAUGCGGGUUGAAGGAAGAGUGUUUCACAUAGAUUUUGUAGACUUUUCUCCACCUAGGUUUUUUUUUCAAAUUACUUUUUCCUUCCUCUGUUUUUUCAUAUACUUUAAGGUUUAGGUUUGAUAUAUAUUUCAUAAAAUUUAUGAAUCUUGUUUAAGUAUGCAUCUCAUUAAAAUGAUGUUGAAAUCAUAAGAGAUUAAUUGCAGUUUGCACGAAAAAACAAGAAAUAAAACUUUAAGAAUAAGAAAUUAAUCAUUAACAAUAAAUUUUCAUCUAAUUCAAAUUUCAAGUGCUUCGAUAAACAAAUGUUCUUAACAAACUAGUUUAGAUAUUAUUUUUACAAUUUGUUCAAGUAUAUGUUUUUCAAAAAAGCUUUAGUAUGAUUUUAUGACUAUAUAAUUAUUAUGCAAAUUUAUGUUUAUGUUAAAAUAUGUUUAGUUCAUGGUUGGAAUACAUUCUAUAAUCUUGAUUCUAGUAAUUCAACCAAUAUAGUUAAUAAUCUUAAAAUUGUUUAGUUUUAUGCUCAAUUUUUUUUACCAGUAACAUAAUUAAAAAUUUCCUAGUUAUUAUUUUUCAUACAAUUCUCUAAAAAUUAAACUAAACAAUAACUUAUCCGAAUUGAAAUUAGAUUCUUUUAUUUAUAUCAUUAUUCUCAACACAGUAUGCUCUUUGCAGGUUAUUGAAUGAAAAACAGUAUCCUUCUUUUGCAAUAAGUUCCUUUUAUGGACCGUGAAAAGAGGCAGAGAGAAAAAAAAAAAAAAAAAAACUCCACUACUGGUAUCCUUGAUAUUUAUUUACAAGUAUAGCGGUUAUUAAUAAAAUGAAAUAUAGAUUUAGUCCAGUUACUGUCUUUUGCAGGAGAAUGCUUUUGUCUCGUGUUUUACAUAUGUUUUAUUUGGAACACGGUUAAAAUUAUAUUUUUUAAAAUUUUAAUUUAUUGUUAUAUUUUAAAAUUUUUUUAAUGUGCUAAUCUUAAAAAUAAUUUAAAAAAAUAAAAAAAUAUUAUUUUGAUGUAUUUUUAAGCUAAAAGCACUUUGAAUCGCAAGCACUACCACAAUCCUAAACAAGUCCUAAACAUAUUUGAAAAAUGGUAAUGUUAUACUUAUAUGUGUUUUUUCAAAAAUAUUUUUAAUUUUUUAAAAAAAUAAAUUGAUAUUUUUUAAUGUUUUAUGAUAGUUUUAAUAUGCUAAUAUCAGAAAUGAAAAAUUAUUUUAAAAAACAUUUUACAUCUUAAUUCUAUACGAAUAUUAAAAUGGUGUUUGGAAAUAUAGUAACGUUUAUUUUUUAAAAUAUUUUUUGUUUAGAAAUAUAUUAAAAUAAUAUAUAUUUUUUAAAAAAAUUAUUUUUAACAUUAACCCAUUAUAACAAUCUAAAACAAUACAAAAAAUUAAACUUUUAAAAAACACAUUUCAAACACGUUACAAACAAAAUCUAAGUGUUUCAUAUAGAAGAAAAACUUGUUAUUCAGGCAAACAGUAAUUUAAUUAUUGAAAAACAAAGUUGAGAACUUCUAUUAAUUAAUUAAUUAAUAAUACUCUCCUGCAAUAAACAUGAUUACAAGCUUGGACGAUCUCUUGGAUAUCCUAACUUGUAACAAAAUACAAGGGGGGAGUAUAUACUACUGCAAUAUUGCUAGCAUAUAUAUUGCCAAAUGCUGAUAACUAUUGCAUCAUUAGAUUUGCAAAUCCUCGAAAGUACAUGAUUAAUGAUUUUAGCAACAGCAAAGAAGCCAUGUUGCCCAGAAAAUGAAAACAUAUAAUUAUAACCAUGAGAAGUCUUUCUUCCAGUUCACUUCAUCAUUGCUGAAAUAGAACCCAUCCUCUCUCACCGACCAAGAGCACUUCCUGAAAAGGCUGCAACGCUGAAGAUCCCUUGGAACCUUGAAGGCAUCAAAUUUCCUCCUCAUUGCAUCCCACUUCAUGGUGCACAAGAAAUGAGUAGUGCCCCAGAAGUUGGUCUUCAGGCUCCAACUGAAAUCAUCACCUUCCUGGAGGGCACGUCCGCCGAGAUCAUCAUUGUUUGACGAGCACCAUAUGACCAGUGGCAGUGAUGAGUUGUUUUUAAACCCAUUGAUGACACGAACAUCGUACUCUAGUCCAUAGAAAUAUUCUGGUUGAUAUAUUGACAUGAAAAUGAUGCCUAUGGCCAGGCUAGCAACAAGAAAGAUGUUAGUGAGAACCUUCAUUUUUGUGACUGGUGAGAUGAAAAUCUCGAAGGCUGAAUAUAGGCUGGCAGAUAGAUUUGUUAAAUCGAUUAUAAGGGUAGGACUUGACUCCAAUCCACCUCCCUCCAGAUUCAAGAGAUUACCAUUUAAAGUUGAAAACCGUUGGUAUAGUUUUAAAGCAUAUAUGAGCUGUAUUUGGGAAGCCUGAUUAUCGAUGAAAUCUCUUCGUAUCAGAAUACAGAUUUGUUUACCUUUUCUAAUGCAUAUUUUUUUGGUAUCUAUAGACUUUUCUAUAAUUUAAAAAAGUAUGCAUUACCAUGAUAAUGAUUGGUUUUAAGGUUAAAUAACAUUUAUUUAUUUGUUGGUACAUGUCUAUAUGUUCCUUGGCCUAGUACUAUUUAUUCCUUCACAUAUAAAAGAUACAAUUAAAAAAUGCAUAUAAGAUUAUAAUCUAGGCUUGCGCCGCCCUUAGCACAGCAAAACAGAGUCAAGGUUCCGAGCUGAGCUCUAAUUUUGUAUCGGUUUAAAUAAUUUCAUAAGCACGGUCGUUUAGCUCUUCUCUAUUCUUAAAAUGAAAUGUAAUUUGCCUCGUGUGGACUCCCUAAUUUACUAGUUUCGACAACUUCUAUAAUUUGUGCUGUGUUAUAGAUAGGAUUUCAAAUUAAUCUUUUUUUAUAAAUAUAUCGUGCAACAAAGAUAAAUCACAACAAUAGCUUCGUGUGAACUUCAAAAAAAAUUAUUAUUUUUUUAAAAUUGAACUAAAUAAGGGAUAUUAAUUAAAACUUAAAUAAAAAAAAUGAAAAGAAAAAUAAAAAAAAUAAGGAAAAGGGUAUUAAUUAAAUUAUUUAAAAAUAAUCACAUGUUAAAAAAAAGAUAUAUUACCCAUGAUUGAUAUAUUAAUCAACUCAAUUAUACUGAAUUGAAAAGUAUAAUUGGAAAUAGAAUCAGUAUAGAAAAAUAUUUUUUUUGUUUGAAUAAAAUAUGACUUGUAAUGGAAAUAAAAAAUUAAUAACACAAUUUUUGUUUGCGCGAGAGAGGAAGCUUUUUCGGGUUCUUUUUUCCCUUAAAACAGAUUUGCCUCCUUUCAUCCAAAUAAAUAAAUAAAUCGGCUUCGCCACUGCCCCUAGAUUAGCCCAUGGCUUCGCAAAUGCUAAUGCGCUCUAAAUAUCCAUUAGAUUGACACACAGAAACCCAGCACUGAAACAAGGAAAAGCUAAGCCCACUGACCUAGGAAAGCAUGCCUAGUGUUGUAGGAUGAGCUAGGCCACUAGCGAAGGACAAAAUUGAUAUAUAUUCUUGUUUUACAAGAAUAUGAAAAACAAUGGGCUGACGGCCCAUUUUAUUACUAUAUUCUUGUUUAUAUAUAUAUAUAUAUAUAUAUAUAUAUAUAUAUAUAUAGAGAGAGAGAGAGAGAGAGAUUUGCUUUUUUAUAUAAUUCAUUAAGAUUUCUAUCUUUCCCUUUAAUCAUAUUAAAUCACAUAAUACAUGUUAAAAAUAUUUACAUUAACUAAUAAGAUUAUUACUUAAAAAUAAUAUAUAUAAAGAUAAGCUGUUCUUUUAAUCCUUUAGUAACCAAAUGUAAUUUUUUUCCAUUCGCUAAAGGAUUGAGCAUUGUAACCAUAAGAUCUUGUUGAACAGGUUAAACGUUGCAUUUACUGACAGCCUAUAUUCCAAGCAUAAGCUGUUGCAUGUAAAAAAAACUCCAGUAAUUAAUCAAGGAAUAACUAAAUAAUAAGGUGAAACCUAAAAAAUCCAGUUCUAGAAAAAAACUAAAUAGAGAAGUCUUCAUUUCUUGUCCAUCAGGUUUCCUCAAGCAAACAUGAUUAAAAUGACAAAUCUAUAAUUAAGAAUUAAUACUCGUUUCUGUUAAAUUUAUAGCACUUGGAGUUUCGAAUUACUGUGAUUAUGGGUCCGCUACACGGGUUAAUUCUUUCAAACGCUAUACUGGAGAGGGAGAAGCGAUACCAUUUUCACAGCACGUUAAAUUUGUACUUUGAAAAAUAAGAGAAGACGAGGCAAAUAAACAUACCUGCUCAGCACUUAAUUCUUUUAUUUACAUUCAUUCCUGCAGUACCUGUGCACUUAGAAGUCAGUAAUUUGGUCCUUCGUCCUCUGUAGACAAUUUUCCACUAGAGAGCUAAAAAAUGGAACUUAACCGUUACCAGCCAAGCCUGUCAAGUGAGCAACGACAUCUUCAAGGCGAGAAAGGUGGCUCGAAAAUUUGUCAUGAAGUUCGGAGGAUUCACAGUGAUUUUCCUGCCACUGAGAAAUACCAUCACCAAUAACCUUCAGACCAUUCUGGAGUAAUUCCAAUCCCUUGCUGAUUCCAUCAGGGAGUUUCCUUCUCUUGUUUGAUACGCUGUCAACAUCAAUCUCCAUACUUUGACAUUCCAUAGCAUCUAUACCUGAAAUCUUCUGAACCAUUUCUUUCAGCAUCAUACCUUCCUUCACAAGCAACUCAAGCUGCUCAAUGCUAGGUGUAGUGGUAAGAGCUGCUUCCUUAUCCAGAAAUGCCUUCAACUCAGACAUAAACCUCUCCUCGCUUGCUUCAUUCCCUGACACCAGAUCAUAAGAUAGCGAUGCAUUUUGUGGCACAAAUCUCCAUAGCUGAUUGCAAGUAGUACGAGCAGCAAAAUAUCCAAAUGCCGCAAUUGAAAGAUGGACAAGUGCCCAAUGCCGCUCCCUGAAUAGCAUGUGAUACAACUCCCACACAGCAGAGCUUUUUGCACAAUCAUCACUCUCUGUCAUCUCCAUGUCUCCAAGUCCUCCCAUAAAAAGAGCAAGAUAUGGUUUGCAUUGAUACAAUUGGGUAUUUGAUGCUGCUGGCCCUGAGACAAACAGGUUCUGAAGCUCCAAUAGGACUCCCUCCAUCUCAUCAGAUUUGUAUAGAUGCUUCAUAUUUGACACAAUUCCCAACAUUUCACUUAAAAGCUCAUGACAGUGUUCCUUCAUUAUUUUCUCGACAGGGUUUCUGAAGUUACGAAUUAUAGCAACUAAAAACUUAAGGGUCUUCACAUCAACAUCAGAUAUGCUAACCUGCCUAGAAAACAUAAAGUUUCAUCAUAUAAUUUUAACUAAUAAAAAAAAAGGUAUGAGGAUAAAUCUGUUUAGGGUUUCUCUCACGCAUUUACGAUUUUAAACCAGAGGAUCAUUCAGAAAAGUUUGGUGAUACCAUUAGCAAGACUAUGUUUAGAAUAAGAUAAAAUGGUUUGAAAAUAAAAGAAGGAAUCAGUCAUCACAUAAGAGUGAGAGAAGCGCUGCAACAGCAAAAAGGGGAUGGUGAAGCUCUGAUUUUAAUCCUAUAUAUGAAAAACUACUUGAGAGCUAUAAAUGUUAGAGGCAAUGUAUAAGCUUCGUAGUUUGGUCAGGAUUGCAAAAUGUAAAUGAGAGAGUUCAUUUUCCAUUUUAUCAGAACAGCUUAUAUGUUGUAUGUAAAUAAAAGAAACUGGCUACUCACUGUGCCUGCAAGGAUGCAGAUAGAGCAUGAACUGGAAUCCCAAAUGCACCAGAACUACAAGUAGUCAACACUUUGUCAUCAAAACUCCCUAUGAAGCCAAAGUAGUCAGUAAUGAUCUUCUGUUUUGCACCACUUCUGAUGUUAUCUGAUAGUGAAUUUAGAGGGAACCCUUCCAAGAGCAAGGCUGCAUACAGAACUGAUGACAAUUGAAAUCUUCCGUCACCAACAACAGAGCUGUAUACAUGGUCUGCCAUAGGUGGUGUACUUUUAGCAAGCAAGCAGAUUAUCCUUGCCACUUUCCUCAGAGGAGAACCUGGAAUAAGAACUGAUUCUGGUGAUUCCAGUAGCUUCAUUAAUGAGCAAAGUUUAUCAAUGAUGCCUUUCACCAUGUCCAUUUCAGCAUAACGCACUAAGAAGCACCAAAGUUCCAUUACAAUCUCCCAGCAAAGAAAAUGUGGAUGGAAAAGAUUUUCAAGCAGGAAAGCCUCAAAUUCUGCCCAGGCAAAACUUGAAGACACCGCAAUCAUGAAGGUUUUUAGUGCAUGCAAAAGAGCUGAAAACAUAGGUUGCCAAAUCAAUUCCAGUGUUUUCCCCGAACCAUGUGGCACAGGAAUCUGCAAAUCAAGAACGAAGGAGUAUACAUCUUCAACAACUAACAUAUCCAGAAACCAUCUGAGUUUUCUAGUGAUCUUGAUCUUUAUGUCAUCUUCAAGAUCCAUAGAAUAUCUUAGUAAAUUAUGAAACAAUGCAAUCCUGCCAAGCAACAAUAAUCUUGCUUCAGACAUAGCUUCACAGCUCACAGAAAAGAUUUCAACCAUUGAAGUCAUGUGAUAAAAACUACUUGAAUCUCCAUGCAUAGAAUUUGAGCAGAAAUCAUCAUUGAACAACCAGUCCAGAAGUUUAAACUUGAGCUCUUGUUUCACUUCAGCUGAAUUGAGUAAAGAAUUCAGCAAAUCUAUUGAUGUCUUCUCCAAAAGUUCUGACAACACUUCACUAGCUGUGUUCAAAAGUUUUUCAUAGCUCAGUAAAAUUCUAAAGGAUGAGAUCAUUAUGACACAGAGGGUCACCUCCUUGUACACCAAAUAUGCUUGGCAUGGAUAGAGGGAAGAUAUUUUCACUGCGUUGGUAAGGUAAAACUUAGAUGGAAGAAAUGUCCUCCUGGCUUCAGUUAAAGAAAUGGUUUCCUUCAAUAAAGAAGACCAAGCCCCGGCUGCACACCUGAGAGGUUCAUUCACCAGUGAAAUUAGGGUUAGAAUAAUAUCCUGCACGCUUAACAUCUCUCUUAACACCCUCUUGCCUUGCUGAAGCAAGGUAAUCACACCUUUCCAUGACACAUUGAGAAUGGUUACCAGACUCCCACCAUCAUUUGCUGCAAGGAUCCCCAGUUCACACAAUUUCUCUAUUGUACAUUUUGUUAUGUUCGUAACAUGAUUCAUUAUAUUGGCUCUCUCUGAAUCUGUAUUGUUUUCAUCCUUCUCAGGUCUUGCAUCACAAAGAUCCCAAUUCACAGCAUCAAAAUAUCCUUUGCAUAGUCUCACUACAGUAUCAAUCACAGUCUGUGCAGCCUUUAAUGCUUCUGAACCGAAGGAGUUGAUCCUCUGCUUGAGAACGGUAACAGAAUAUUCUUAGAAAGAGAUACUAACUAAAUCCUCUAAGCAAUGAAUUAAUAUCAUAAACAGGAUAACGAAAUUUCACCUAAAAUGCAAUUCAAAUGGACCACCUGAUGAUAGCCUUGGUAUGAUCAUUAUGGUCGUAAAGAUGUAAUUAAAUGCCUCGAAGGCUCAGAGUACAAUUAUGUUUCAUGGUUGUAGACAGCUAUGGAUGUCACAAAGGCCAUGCAUGAUGGAAUUUACUCAGAAGCAAAAAUUAGAGUGGGAAGGAGAUGAAAAGGACUCACUGAUAUGGAUCACGGUUUUAGGAUUUCCCUAAAGAUCUUCACUAAAAGACAGAAUCAUUGAAGAUGUUAUAUAUUAUGAUUUCCUAUAAGCCUGAAAACAGAUAAUCUACCAUUGACUUUCACCGCAAGUACAAUUUUUGCAUGUAAAAAUUGUUAAUGAGGUUAUGGGCAACAGGUAUUUCAAGCAAGCAGCCUGAUCCCAAGUCACAAGCUAUUCGAUGAUGUAAAAGCACAGAAGAAAAUAAAAGACCUGGUACCUUAAUCUCUGAUACUACGUCUUUUAUCAAAUUUAGCUGUUCCAAAAUGAAUUUCUCAACAGUAGCUGCUGAUGCAUUGUCAACAAAAACAGGGUGUCUUUUCAAAGCAACCAUACUGGCAGCAGAGAGACUAAAUAAAUCCAAAAGAAGCUGCAAAAGAUAAGUUUAAGACGUCAAAAAACAAAAGCAAAAGCAACCACUCGUUAUUCAGAAAAUAUAUGAUAAUAAUCACUGGGAUCUUAUCAAAAAAAUCACAUUUCAGCUCAAAAGGCCCAUAUUUUACAAAAGCAUAAACCCCAAUAUUAUUGUCAAGAAGAGAGGAUGUUCAUCAUUGGAGAACUUGUAAGUAUAUUGCACAAAAGGAAAGUUAACUAAUACAGCACAAAUUAAGCACCUAAAAACGAUAUGAAUUACUCAAGAAGUAGUUAUGACCAGUUUCUUAUUAGACACAUCAGAUCAGCAUUAGUAAUUUUCUCACAUACUAAAUAUGCACUUCUAUGGUUGGCUGCUUUGCAGCAACUCCAAGAUAAGUUCAUGACCUUUUUCAUUUUGGUAACCUGUAGUUCAAAAGAUGUUGGUUGAUGCAAGUUAAAUAAUUUGCCCAAAGCUUUUAGCAAGGAGACAGACAUUAUAGCGAACGACUCACUUUCUUCUUUACAAAUUCCCAUUGGGGAUAUGCACAACUUAAUAUGCAAGAUUGUCAUUCAAUGUAUAACUAAUGAUAUAACAUAGUUAAGCAUUGAGAAAACUAACAUUUACAUAGGCCUGCAACUGAUUGAGUGCAUUCAAAUAUUAUUAUAUUCUGCAAAAGUUGUCCUUACUAAGUAAUAACACACUACUGGUUUCUAAAAGUUCAGAAAACAUACAAUUAAAGACUGCCAGUGUCAUUUUAGUUUCUAUAACAAUAAACAAAGACCAUCAAAGUCAUGUUGGCUCCAAUCCAGCUCGUUCCAGGAAGCCUCUUUUCUAAAAAAAACACAGAUCAAGAGUGGGAAACCACAUGCUAAUCAUGGAGAAAAACCUAAGAAUACUAUCCUAAACAGAACAAUCUACACCCAAUGGCGCUGCAGAGAUCAGUACAUACCUGAAAGAAUAAAUUUGAAUGUUCUUCUUGAGAUUCUUCAGUUGACAUCGCAGUCAUCUUCAGAUGUUUUCCACACCACCCACUUGCCUAAUGCACACACGGUCUCAAUAAGGUCAAGAACAGACAUACCACUCAACAGAAUGUCUAACAAGAAUACCAACAAACAGAAUUAAGCUAAAGUGAAACUCUACCUUUGUCCCGAGAGCAAGAAACUGUACUAAACAUCCAGACACAUCUGAAUCUACAUAUUUCGCAGCCACGCUCAAAAUAGUCUUGUUUAACAUGCAUUGAGAUAUAUCCAAGCAAGUAAAGUCCUCCCAAAAUGUCCAGCUUCUUGUUAAGGCAAAAUAAUAAUAAUAAUAAUAAAAAAUCUAACAACAAAGAUAUUCAGAACAUCUAUCGUAAGCAUCCAAAAUCAUAGGAAUCCAAACUAAUCUCCAAACCCUAAUUUUUUAUUUUACAUCAGUGAUGCAUUUUCCGAAUAAAUAAAAAGAAAAAAAAAUAGAAACAAGUAAAAUGGAGGAUACUGUGAGGAAUUCAAGAAGAGAAGCCAAAUCCGAUAUCUCCAGGAAAUCAAAAUCCCGAAGCUUGUUAACCAGUUCAAUCUGGCUCUCAACAACCUGUAUUAUUAGCAUUCGAAACCUCUCAGAUUACAAAAUACACAAAAUCAUAAAUGAGAUGAAUCAUUUCGUUGCUGUUUUUGAGAGAUCUAAUUUCGAUUUUGGUAGCCAAACAACAUCAAAAAAUAAGAAGGCGAGAAAUGAAGAAAUUGAACGAGCUAGCUUACAUCUGAAGAUUUGAUGGCUUGCAGAAGAUCCUGCAACUCCUUGCUGGAGCUUUUUCUCUCCAUUUUCCGCUUUCUUAGUUUCCCUGUUUGAGUUUGGUUUAUUGUUUUUUGUUAUUUUGUUUUCCCGCCUUCAAUAAAAAUUGAAGUGGAAAAGGGCUUGUCGAAGUUGUAUUUACAAUUGGGUCCUUUUUUCAGUUUUUUUCGCGCUAUUGACCUUAUUAUUAAAUCUCUCUUCACAAACACACACACAUAUUAGAAUCAUCCAUGAUGAAAAGCUAUAGCAUUCCUUGGUUUAUUGUUUUCAUCUUGCUAGUUUGAUUCCUUGUGUUUACGCUGUGGGAUAGAGUUUUUUUUUCUCGACACAAAAAAAAAUUGUGGUGUUCUACUGUUAUUAAUGGAUUUCUCACUAAAAAAAAAUUAAUUACAAACUAAAAGAUUUAUAUAUACAUUCAAUUAAAAAUUAUAACUGUUAAUAAUUGGAUGGAAGGUUGAGGUAAAGAUAUUAUUUCUUUAAAAAAAUUCAAUUUUUGUUUUGUUUUUAAAUUAGGUUUUUAAAGUUUUAAUUGAUUUGAAUUAAUAAAUUUAAAUUUUAUUUUUUCAAAUUAAACAUCGACUCAAUAUAAAAAAAGUUAUUUUUAAUAUCGUGAAAGACGCAUAUAAAAUUUUUAAAAAUAAAAUAUCAAACUCAAUCUCCAGUCAACUUAAUAUAAGAGGGUUAAAUUAGAAAUAUAAAAACUCAAGUGAUAAAAAAGGAAAAACAAAACAUUGUAGAUAAUUAUUAGAAUCCACAAUAGAUCUUUCUUUUAUAUUGCAUUUCCAUUUUAUUUUAUUUUUUUCAUUGCUUCAAGUGUUUAUGAUUUAUCGAGCAUCAAUUUUAUAAAAUCAAACUACAAUAAUUGAGAAGCAAAAGGACUAACAAAAAGAAUGAUGUAAAUAAAAAAAAGAACUAACAAAAAAAAUGAUGUAAAUGAAAAAAAAUAAUGAGUGAGAAAAAAAAAAUUUGAGGUGGUUCACUGUUGACAAUCAAAACACAAUUUCAUGGUUUGCUAAAUGCAAAUUUCAUAAAAUCAAAACAUAAUUGUUAAAUAAAAAGCAAAAUAAAUUAAUAAAAAAAUACAAAUAAAAAAAAGGACCAAAAGACAAAAAAAGUGUUAAAUAGGAAGUAAAAUGCCUUUAUGUUAAAGUAUCUAUACCCAUAGAUUUACCUCACAUCGAUAAAUCCACUCAUCAAAAGAGCCCCAAAUCAAACCCCCCUCCCCUUUGAACUCCCUCUAAAAUAAAGGAUGCAAAUAAAAAAAAAUAAUCUAAAAAAAAGAAGGAUGUAAAUGAAAAAAGAAUUGAGAUGGUUUAUUAUUUAUAAUUCAAACACCUUUUUAUGGAUUACAAAGUCGAUUUUAUAAAAUUAAAUUAUAAUUAUUAGAUAAUAAACAAAAUGAUCUAGUAAAAAAAAAAUGCUAGGAUCCAGUAAAAAUAAAAAGGAUGUAAAAGAAAAAAAAAGAUUCAAGGUGGUUUGCUGUUUUUAAGAACAGUGUCUUCACCUGUAUCAUUUAAUAUAUAUAUAUAAUACUCAUAUGGAAAUUCAUUUAGUUUUAUAUGAGAUGACAUGCACGCGUGUUGCCGCGGGUUUAUAAAACAAAUGUACUUGAUAGUGUUAUAAUUGUGAACCAACGCUAGAUAAGUAAUAGAAAUUAAAAGUAUGAUGGAGCAAAUAUUUAAUGACAGAAAAAAAAGUUGUGUUGGUGAUGAAAAACUUAAGACUGAACAAAAUGAUUUGUAGCAAUCUACAGUGUUUUGUGAGGAAAAAUACAAUGUUUUCGCCACAUGAUUUAGCUUUUCAGUUAAUAAAAGGCAAAAAAAAUUACAAAGCUAAAUUAUCUACCAACUUAAUAUUAAAAAAAAAACCAACAAAGAUAAUUUUGGAAGGAAAAAAACCCAUGAGAAAAAACGUUGCAGCAAUUGACAAUGUUUUGUGAGGAAAACUAUAGCACUUUUCCCAAUAAAAUAAAAUAAAAAACCAUUUUUCCUCAUAUGAUUUAACUUUAUUGUAAUUAUAAUUCUUAACCAACUCAAUAUUAAAAAAAAAUCAACAAAGAUAAUUUUGAAAAAAAUCAUAAAAAAAUCACAUGGGAAAACAUUGCAACAAUUCACAGUGUUUUAAAGAAAAAAAAUUACAAAGCUAAAUUCUUAAUCAGCUAAAUAUUUUUUUUUUAAAAAAACAACAGAGACAAUUUCAGAAAAAAAAAAAAAAACAAAACAAACACCAAAAAAAGGAAAAAAAAAUCAUGUUGAAAACACUGUAGCAAUUCACAAUAUUUUUGUGAUGAAAGCUGCAGUGCUUACUCACAUGAUUUAACCUUAUUUGUAAUGACUUGUAAUUGUAAUUCACAAACAACUCAAUAUUAAAAAAAUAAAAUCGAAAAAGAUAAUUUGAAAAAAAUUAUAACAAAAAAAAAUAUGCGAAGAGACACUGUAGCAAUCCACAAUGUUCUAGGAGCAAAGCUACAAUGUUUUCCCCACAUGAUUAAGCUUUAUUACAAAGUUAAAUUUUCGACGAAGAUAAUUUUGGAAAAAAAUGUUACAAAAAAAGAAAACACAAGAAACUGAAAAAAAAACCAUGCGAGGAAAAACUGUAUCAAUCCAUAAUGUUUUGUGAGGAAAAACUUGUAUUUACUUGUAAUUGCAAUUCUUAACCAGCUUAAUAUUAAAAAAAUAAAAUUGACAAAGAUAAUUUUAGGAAAAAACAUAACAAAAACAGAAAAAAACCAUGUGGGAAAAAACACUGUAGCAAUCAAUAGUAAUUUUCGAGGAAAGUUACAGUGCUUUUCUCACAUAUUGUAACUGUAAUUUUUAACCAACUCAAUAUUAAAAAAUAAAAUAAAAAAAGAUAAUUUCGGAGAAAAUUAUUAAAAAAACCAUGAGGAGAAACACUGUAGCAAUCAACGAUGUUUAAAAGAAAAAAAAUUACAAAACUAAAUUCUCAAUCAGCUCCAUAUUAAAAAAAAUCGACAAAUAUAAUUUUGAAAAAUAAAAAAAUAAAAAAGAAAAAUUAUGUGGAAAAACAUCGCAGCAAUCCACAGUAUUUUAAAGAAAAAAAUUAUAAAGCAAAAAUUUUAAUCAGAUCAAUAUUUAAAAAGUAAAAUUAACCAAAAUAAUUUUGAAAAAAAAAAUAAAAAAAAAAUAAAAAACCAUAGUGAUUUAGUUGUGGGGAAUUCACCAUUUAGAUAUUGUUUAAUAUAUCGAGGGUGCAACUGUUCGUGUAUUUUUACGCAGGGACUGGAGUCCACCUUCCUUCACUUUUCAGGCUUGGAUCGAUCCGAGCAGUUGGUUGCCUUACCAGACCCGAGCUCGCAAGUUGAGACAAUGUCCAAUCACACCAUGAAGCCCUCACCUGGGUUACCAAACUCGGCGAUUGAAUUCAGUGUGCAGAGUUCUCAUAAAGUACAAUGUGGUAUAUUUUUCUUCCGACCAGGAAUAUGUUGGUUCUUUAUUAGAAGUUCGAUUUUCUCGUUUUCAAAGAAAAAAGAAAGGAAAGGAAACAAGACGGAUUAUUAUAUUUAUCACUGAUAAGCAUGCGUUAAGAUUGCAGAUGUCACCUACCUUGAUCUGAAAACCGAGGAGUUACGCCUUGAGUUCUUGUCUAGAACAACCGACUUCGUUUAAACUAGACUUAGUGGGGUGCGCCAGGCUCUUGCUAUAGUGCAACGCAUGAGCGACGCCCGAGAGCCCCAGUAGCAAGCUACUGUUAUGGACUCUCCCCCUCAAAAAAUUAAUUUAAUAUCGUGUGGACCUAUGGCCCACGUAUCAGAUAUUAAACUGAUAAGAACAGAUACUACACUUGAUCUUAGCCAAAAGGCCGAGAAAGGUAUGAUUUGUCUAGCAUUCAGCUUUCGUUUAUAUACACGACUCGUCUCACUUACAUGGUCUCUUUAGCGAUGUGGGACUAUCGAAACGCAUUAACAUGGCUUGUAACUUGUAAGAAAAACCAAGAACCAGCAGUUUUUCUCACUUGCAAAUUGCACAAAUAAAAAGAGAAUUUCUCUCUUUUGGAUGCCUUCCAGUGUCGAGCAAUAGAUUAAGAAGCAGAAUCACUGGUUUUUGGCUAGAAGGUGGCGAUCUUGCUGUCAAGAUCAAGGCCAUGUUGGUCAUGUAUGGGCUAAAGCUGUUAAACGACUGUCUUUUUUAAGCUAAUAAAGCUGCUAUAGGAAACAGUGGAGGUAAAUUUAAGAGGCUCCCAAUUGGGGUCCAGUAAACAAAUUUGCGGCAGAGGCAUAUUUGUUGGUGGGUUAUCUCAAGAAGGCAAGUAAAACGUUUGAAUUGCGAUUGUCAUGCUCAUAUCAUCAAGAGAAGGUAUCUUCCUUGUUAACUUUCCUUUGAUUUCUCAGUAAUUAAACAGCUAAUUGGUGUUAUGGUAACGCAUGCCGUUAAAUUGGAUAGUUUGUCAUAGAAUACUUGAUUGCUGAGAAAGUGGUGGGAUGGGAGAGUUAAGUUGAAUUUAUCGUUUCAGUAGAAUGAGAAAACUGCAAGCAUAAAUCUUCAAACAAAAUUUUUGGCCCCUCUUGCUGCUAAGAACUAUUGAAGUUAUUGUAACUACGAAGGAAUUGUUUUAAGGUUGGAUGCAAUGCUAUUGAUCAAGGACACAUUUGAAUUAGAUAUGGGCAUGCACAAUAACUAAUCAGCCGAAGUAGCUAAAAGAAGCUAAACAAGCAGAAGCAAGUACACAGCUUAUUUGAUAAUAUUCCAGUUAAGAAGAUUUGAUAAUUGUGAAGAGAGCACUCUGGUACGAAAAUCUCUAGUAAAUGUUUUUGCCUGAUGGAUACAUAAAAGUGGGCAGUUCUGAAUCUUCUGAUGGUAUUAAAACUCUACUUAAUGAUUGUUUAUCUUAAUAGCCUUUCUUUUUGUGGGCUUCUCUUCAUACUUCUUUACAUUAAAACGAGCCCCCCCCCCCCCCCCUCCCCCUCCAAUCGGUCAUCAUGCUGGUAAGUUAAGCUUUUGCAGGUUGCAUAAAUGCUUGCACAAGUUAGUCUACUAUGCUUUUCUUACAGUUAGCUUUCCUGUGUGUGUUUUAGUUCCUUCUUUGCAUUUUGGAGUCAUGAGGAUGUGAUUUUGAGUAAUGGGAUCAAAUUAAACUAGCAGCUGUUUCCAAUCCAGCAGAAGAGUUUUUAUUGUGACGUUUCAUCUUCCCCUUGCCAAGUUUAACUUGAGAUAUUAACAAAUUCCGUGGGCAUUGGAUUUAGGAACUUCCAGUAGUUGAGAAUGGUUUCGGUACAGUGAAAACUUACAGCAAAAUGAAACAACGGCCUAAGAAGUGCCAUAUGUGGACGAUGAUGGUUUCAAUCUAGAAUCAUGUGUUUUCUGUAACAAAUACAAUAGCCAUGUACAAACCUCGAUCUAUCCAUUCACAAAUCUUUUUUUCAUUUGCUGCUUUUAUUAGGGAGAAUUAAAAGCUAAACAAUUUUGAUUGCCAUUUUGAUUUCAUAUGUUGUUUUGUAAAUUAAAAUUGACAUCGUUUCAUUUCUUUUGUACAACAAUCCUUUUGUUUGAAGAUGAUCAUCUGACUGUCCAGUCUUCCUUGCCAAAAUGUUUGAAAGUGGCUGCGCUAUAACUAAAUAGAAUUGCAUUUACUUGGAGCAAGGAGCAUAUGUCUGCUGAGUGCUAGUUUUAUCAAAGAAGAGGAUAGAUCCCGAAGGGAAGAUUGCCUUGGAGCCACUGGAAAAUCAUGAGAAAAGCCAGAGAGGUAGUGGAAGUUUUGAGUAAGAUACUGAACGAUGCCUUGCUGCUUGUAGCACAUCAUUUUUGUUCUUGAUUUUGUUUUCAUUUAUUUUUUGUCCUGUUUUAUUUUUAUUGCUUGCCAUAUAUGCGAGAACAAUCUUCAAUUGCUUUAGUGUUCUUUUAGCUAUGAUGGUAGAUGGCUGGUGCCAGGGACUCAGGUUUGGGAACUCGAAGGUCAGCUAAUGAGGGCAGAGGUGUACCUGUCCAUUGCAACAAUGAAAUGCAAUCGGGGCAGAGAUGGUUAUAUUAAAGAAUUAUCAUUUUACGUAAAUACGCAGCUAAUUAGAAUUCCGAACUGUCAAAAUCGUCAAUUUUUUCCUAAACGCUCAUUUCAGCUUGUUACAUUAUUUAAAAAUUCUAACACAACUUUCAGUCAUGCAGGGAAACCAAAAUUAGAUCAGGGAGUGUACCUCUACUCCAAGCUGUUGAGUUUGUGGAAGCUCCAGGAUCUUUGUUAUUCCACAUGCUUACAUGGUCAUUGUGCAAUCAUUCCUGGAAAACGCACAUGCUUUCACCACUCAAGUGCCAUGACCAUCGUAGAGAGAGAUUUUACACAGAGAUGCAGAGAGUUAUUCUUAGAGAGUUUUUUAGACUCAAGUUCUGAUCCAUGUACUGGCUAGUUGGUUUUCCUUUUGAAAACUAGCUAGCAAGUUCAUGGAUCGGAACUCUCAGUCUGAAAAAACUGAUGAGCUGGUUUUUUAUUGGCAAAGUUCCCGUUGAUUUAGAGGACAUAAUCCUGCAUUAUGCAGUACAUGAUCAUGAUAUUACCUUUUCCCUCUGUUAUGCAUUGACAGUCAUCAGUUUGCACAUGUAUUAGAGUCCUUCUUGCUAGUGGAUUCUAUAUUUACAUGUAUGACAAAUGCAAUGUUUUUCCUCGAAUUCGCUUCAGAUUGGAAAGCAGAAGUUAGGGCAUCGUGGGAGUAUGUAUGCAUGCUCAUUAUGCCCCUACUGAUGCCUGCAUAUAAUUGGUAGAAAACUGCAUGCAGGCAAUGUAUGGGCAAAUUUACCUUGGAUUUUAUGUCCCUGAUGACCUGAGGUAAAAACAGUAACAAGGACCGAAGUCUUUCGCAAGUUGUUCUCACGGGGAUGGAUUCAUGUAACAUUACUUUUCAGAGAUACACAUGUGCCACGUAAUGGAUUGAUGUGCCUUCUCUUUGGCUUGCUUUCUAUAUAAUGAACUUGAAUUUCAAGCAUAACCAAAAAAUAUUUUAUAUCAGAACUAAAUUAAAUAUGAAGCAAUUCUAUUAUUUGUUUAUCGUCCUCUCUGUGCUGUACAUUUUAUAUUGUAGGGUUGAUGGUUGUGAUCCUGAUUAUGGUGGCUGUCGAUGAAGCAAUGAUGCGAGUGGUUGCAAUCGUGAUGAUAAUGGUGGGGACUUUGAUGGACAAGAUCAAUGUGGUGGUGGCCAAAUGGGAAUUAGGUGGAGGAGGGUAGGGUGGAUUUGGCAGUGGUUUUGGUAUGUGGCAGUUAUGGAGGAAGAGGAGAUGCUGGUGGCGGUGGAGUUGGAAGUGGCAGUGUAGGUGAAUGUGAUCAUGGUCAACGGUGCUCCUAGCUAGGAUGUCAAAUGUGUGUUGGAUGCAGAGCCAGCUUGGUUUAAUUUUUUAAUGCUCGCAUCAGUGCCUAUUCCAUGAUGUUUCCAUUUUGUAAUACACGCACAAACCCUUCAAUUUUGUGUGCAUCUAGCAGAACUGUCUUUCAUUAUCUUAGUUAAUGUCUUGUAAGUUUGUUUUCAGGUGGUAAGGUUGUUGCAUUAGCAGUCCAUCUCAAGGGUUGCGCAUGCAUAUCACUCUCAUACAUGCUAGCUACCUUAAUUCUCGUAAUGUUUAUCUUGUAGUAGAUGACAGUGUCUUGAAUAAAUACACAAUAAUUGUAUAUGUGAUUGCUACUGACUUAAUUAUCUUACACUGUCUGAAUUUUGCUUUCAAUGGGUUAUAUUAGUUGCUUUCAUAGCAUUUGACUAGCUAGCUAGACACAGUCAGGCCUGUGACAGCAACAAAGGCAAUGCCUGUCUCCACCAUUUUGACUUUUGCUUUUCUUUAAUUUGGAGUUAAUGUAUAUAUACUUCUUCUGUCUGGGAUUUAUUGUCAAUAAAUGCACAUUAGACUGAUCUGAACUGCUGCAUGACACUGCCUGUACAGGUGGUUUACAUGCAAAAUUCGAGUUCUGAUUUUAUCUGUAAUAGUCGAAUCGAAGAAACAACUUCUUAGAAAGAUUAAAUAACAAAAGCUGAAACUGCAUGCAAAUUUUAUCCUUUUAGAGAGAAAACGUAUGAUUGGAAUCUCUUAUGUAUGAUUUUAAACUGUGUUUCAAUUCGCGAAACUACGUUGAAUGGUGGGGGCUACGACAUCCCAAACUUCAGAGAAAAUUUUACAUUUUAGUGUUAGAAUUUUGAACAUGUUUAAUUAUAGUCUUCAAUUUUAUAUAUUAUACACCCAAAUUAAAAUCAAUUAUUUUCUUAUCCAUCCCCCCAUUUGAAGUUUUUGAUUUGAAGUUUAAUCAAUAAAUAAUAUAAUAUUUUAACGAAGCAAUCUCGUAUAAAUGUUAUUAUCUCUAAUAGCAACAAUUUUUUAUCUUUUUAUUCGUCUAAAUGUCUUUUACAACACUAUAUAUAUAUAUCAAGCGCACAAUGCGUGUAUUUAGUUUUAAAUGUUAAGCGUAUUUUAAUUUGGACCAACAAUGGAAGGGGGAGGGCUUUGUAGUUUCUGAUUAUUUGACUAUUUCUGGAGGCUUUACUGAUGUUGUUUUCGUGUUUGUUAUAGGAGUAAAAAUAGCUUUUACUCUUCUUCAUUGUAUUUUUUUUAAAAUUCUUUUUUAUAAUUAGAUUAAUUGUUUAAUUAAAUCCUCAAACAUUAUAUAAAAUAAAACUAGUUACUACACAAAGAAAAUAUAUACAGAAAAAAAAUAUUUUUUUUUUUAUCUUUUCUUCUCAUUGUUUUAGAAGUUUAGAAUGUGUAAUUAUAUAUACAGAAAAUAUUGUUUCUAUAUAGAAUAAAUAAAUUAAAGAUAAUAUUUUUACCGUUCUAAAACUAACUCUUUAUUUAUUUCCAUCAUAAAUAAAUUCUCUAAUAUAUAGUUGUUGUGGUGGUCGGAGUUUGGGUGCUCAUUGAUGGAUCUAAUGGAUGAAGUUUUAGGGUUUUGGUGGCAGUUUAGGGGGGCUGGGGAUGGUGAUACAGGUAGUUGUUUAAGGAGAUGUGGUGGUGGUUCCAACUUCCAAGUGAGAAGAUGGAAGGGUGUUUUAGUAUUUUAUUGGUGAUAACCAAAUCGCCAAAGCCUGGCAUGCAUGCUUGGUUCUGGUUUUGUUUUCUAGUUCACAAAUUAAUCACACAACUAACUAAUUAUGCCAAGAGACAAGGUAAUUACAUUAAUGAUAAAUCCCAGCUGGGACAAAAUUAACACGAGGUUUUGCUAAAACACGAAGGCAACAACUGCAAUUAUCAUUGAAACAUAAAGAUAACAACACAUACAGCAUAAGAUGUGUCCAAGGAAACAACUAUUUGACAAGGAUAAUAACUCGCACUUAACACAACGACCUGUCUCAGAUAGUUCACUAAAAGUCUAAAACACCAAACCAAGCGCAAAAACAUUAAGCUAAUUAUUGACUUAAGGGGAUGGUAGAGUCGAACCACCAGCACCACCAGCUGCACCUCCUACACCACCAGCACCACCAGUGCCAAGGCCAGUAGCACCUCCUAUUCCACCAACCCCUCCAACCCCUCCAUAUUUGCCAAUUCCACCAAGGCCACCAAUAACUGGCAGACCACCAAUGAUACCAGCGUAACCUCCCAUUCCAGCAAAGCCACCAACACCACCAUAGAUGAAAUUCUUUUUGUCUUUAAGGCCAGUGCUGCUAGGUGAAUCGGCAGCUGGUGCACUAGCAUGCAAUACUUGCUCUUCAUUAGGGACAGCAUUAUUGCUAUCAAGAUCAACAUCAUCACUUGGAACAUUACGUGCUGCUGUUGCAUGCACAAAUGCUAAAACAAGCACAAAAAUCACAACCCAGCUAGCCAUCUCCCUCUCUCUCUCUCUCUCUCUCUGAUAUACUUUUGAAGCAAUACUUGAGUUAGUGUUGUUGCAUGGAUGUGGAUUUUAUAAGGAUUUGAAGGGUGGAUAACGGUUGAGGAUAAUAAAGGGGUUAUAGUAAAUGACAAUGAGACAUAGCUCUCGUAAUCUCGAAAAGGGAAAUUCUUUGAAAUUAGAACCAGAGAGUUAGGUGAAUCAAAAGUAGUAAAAUUUAAGGAAGUCAUGUGUCAUGUCAUCCAAGUGAAUUGCCAGGUUUGUCUGUGGUGUCAAGCCUCAUUAAACAGUGCCAAAUACAUACAUUUUUGUCCUCUGGGACAGAGUACAGAUUAACAGAUCAUCCUUCAUAAUUUAUAUAUAUAUAUUAUAUAAAAAAUUUAAAUGGAUCGUAUAAAAAUAACUAUAUAGAUAAAAAUCUGAAUUAAUUAUAGCUUAGUUCUGCAAUUUAGCAAAAAUAUUAUUCGAUCUCUAAAUAAUUGGUCCACGUAAAGAAAGAAUUUCAGGAGGGUUCAAACAAUUUUUCGAAUAAAGAAAUAUUUAAGCAAAUAAGUAUUUUCCAUAACUAUGUAGUUUUAAACCCUGAUAACGUUCUUGACAUGCUAAUCUUAAUCCUAUUAUUAAAGAAUGUCUUGAUGAACAUAUGGACCAAUCACGCUAAAAGUUUUAAAUAAUUUUUAUUGUUAACAAUCAACGAAAUUAUUAAGCAUAUCAAACCCUCCCACCCCUGAGAAAAGAAGAAGAAGAAGAAGAAGAUUUUUCAUGUGUAGAGAAACUCUUUCUUCAAGGAUUGCUAAUUUUUAUGCACCAACGGCUCCUGAUAUGGAAGCAUAUUCUGUAGAGAAAAGACUAACUGUAAACAUAUUUUCAUAUCUUUUAAGUUAAGGAUUCCCUUUUCAAAACUAAUUUGAAAUUAAGUUAAAUAACUUCUGUCAUAAUAGAAAUUAUUAAUUUUCACACUUAGAAAAUUGGGAUUGAAUUCUAAUUAGGGAAGGCUGAAGACUCUCUUGGACCUAGCAUUGAAAUCCAUGCAGGUCUAUUACGGCAUAAAUUGAUUUUGGAAUUUUUAUCGUGGAGAUGUGCUGAAAACUGUUUCAAAAUACAAAACAAAAAUGAAAAAGAGUUCUGCGUCAAAUCUAGCCUAGAAAAGAUUUUAUGGUAAACUAUUUCAUAUCAAUUAUCUCCCAAAAACAAGAAAAGGCAAAUCGAUCAAGGAAGGAGGGAGUUGCAAACAAGUACUCCAUGAAUCAUGAUGGCGGAUGCUUUUUUGUUAAUAAAAAAUAAGAUUUUAAGGUUUUUUUUCCUUCAAAAAAUACUAACUCCUAACCAUGGAAAUCUAUAUUAUCGGAAUAGAGACUUUUGUAGAAUUUCCAUUUUUUGAUUAAUUAAAAAUUUUUCAUGAUGUUGAAUAUAAAAGAAAGUACAUUAUGGUAUUAAUUAUACUGCCGAUUAGUUUUUUUUUUUUCAAAAAUAACAAUUCGUAAUAAUGGAAAUAUAUAUUCUAGGAAUAGAGAUUCUUCUAUAAUUCCUAUUUUAUAACUAAUUAAUUACAUUUAUAUUUUUUUUUCUUUUGUAAUAGUCAACCGUUCGUUGUGUUAACAUGUGAACCAGUCAUAUAAUGUAGAAAUUUUUCUAGGAUUGCUAUUGUAUGGCUAAUUAAAUCAUAUAAUAUAAAAAUUACGCUAUAUUUGGAAACGGUGAAUAUGCCAAUAUAAUUAUUGCAGGGGAUAUAAUUAAAUAUAUGGAAACCCUGCUGAACCUCUCAAGAAAUAUAAAAGGUGUACUGUACUGAUAAAAAAAACUCACCUACACUACCAUCGCAGAAAAUCAUAGAGGUGAAACAAAUGGCUGUAAGACAUUCCUCUGUCAAGAUAUCGAUCAUCGCAAUCAUGGUCAUCGCUCUCCUCUUUGCAAUAGGUACACACACACACACACACACAUAAAUAUAUAUAGAAACUGAAGCUGUUGCUUAUGUUUACUUAUCUGUGAUAUGUUCCUGUAAACUGUUGUUUCUGUCUCGUAAUUAAUCCUCUUACAACUUCACACAGUGAACUAACAUCCUUUUCAAGAUCACACAAACAGUAAUUGGUCAACAGAUUACAUAUAAUUAUAAUAAAUAAAUCUACCAAACAGACAACUUUCAAAACACUUAAUCUCUUUUGCAAGACUCGAGCAAAACCUCGUUGGCUGCGUGCACUGGAACAAUGAUUUUCCGGGUUGUUAUAUAUGUUUUUAUUCACUUCUUAGUUUAGAUAGGUAGGAUUAUAAGUCAAGAUAAUUAGAUUAAAAGUUGAGGACCUCGCUCAAAGGCGUAAAGGGUUGGUUCUCAAUCUUCUGUUCAGACGAUGGACUAACAACGAAAUAUGCAAAGCUAGUGAAAUCUUGAGGUAUAAGGUUCCCGUGGCUUGUAAAAAUGCCCAAUUAUUUUUUUAGUAAUUGGAAAAAAUAUAAUUAAAUUAUCAUAAGAAAAAACCAAUAAAAGGACUAUGUAACAAACAAAUAUGAAAAUUGGGAUUCAAUAAUGGGUUUUUAAAACCAAAGGAUUAAUUGAUUAUUUCACUAAAAAACAAUGAGAUUAAAAAUAUUUUUUUUUUUAGAGCACCCAAUUAUCCUUUAAGAAAAACUAUCAUAUUGACAUGCGUGUGUAUAUUACCUUGUGGAAGUUAGAAAAUUAAUUUUCUCCUCUUCUCUAAAUACAAUCAAACUCUUAACAAUAGAAGAUUAUGUUUAUGUUUUCAGAGAAAAAGGAAAAAGAAAAAAACGCUUACUGAUGCUUUGCUUGCAGGAGAGGCUGCGCUGGUUUGCGUAGAAAGAUGUGGAGUCCAUCCUGACUGUAAUGCCUUUUGCAAUCGCCUUGGUUACAGAGGAGGCCAAUGUCUUCCACCAGUUUACGUACAAUGUUGUUGCAAUCGGUGAUGGAUUUCUCUUUAUUAUUAGUGGCAAGACAGUUGUUGUGAUACCUUUCUCGAGGAAUAAAACGGGAUGGUUAUAAUGCCAUUCUCAAGGAAUAAAAUUCAUUAUUCGUCUCCUAUAUUUUUUUUCACCUUUUGCUGUGUUUUAUUCCUAAAUAUAAAUAAAAAAAAAGAAAAUAUGAGAAGGUAUAGAAAAAUUACUAGAUUGGUGUCCAGUGCUAUGAUGCAGACUAGAAUAAAAUGUAUUUUAACAUAAAAAUAAUAAUUAAGUAUUAUUAACAUGUUUUCGGGUUCAGUUUUAUCAUAAUCAGACUAAGUCUAAAAAAAUUCUAAUUGAGCCAAAAUAAAACCUAGUUGGGUUCAGUUUGACCAAGUUAAACUAAAUCCCGUAUUAAACUAGGUUUGACCUUGGUAAAACCAGGCACCAAAGUAAUCCAGCCAAGCCCAUGUUAAACUACAUUCGAUCAUGGUCAAACUCAGCCCAAAAGAAGUGCAACCAAGCCUAAGGUGGGCUCGGUUGGGUUUGGUUUGACCGGGUCAAAUUAAAUUUUAUAUUAGGCUAGUUUUGAUCAAAAAAAAUCUAAUUGAGAUUUGUUUUGAUUGGAUCGAAUCAAGCCUUAAUGUUGGGCUAAGGUUUCACCGUCCUAAAAGAAGUCCAACCGAGUAAAACUCAUGCUACAUUUUUUUAUAUAUAUUUCUUUUUGAACCCUUGUCAUCAAGUCCCCCAGAAACGAAGUUAUGAUAAGAAGGUAUGGACCGAGCCAUGGAGGAGAGAUGUCCAAACAAUUUGACCUGGCACUCCUCAGCUCACUUGCUAUUCAGGUUAAGCCUCUACGGAUGAAUUGGUAAGCUAUGGAAGCAUGGAGAAAAAGGUGCACAGAAUGUGAUCCAAUUCUCCCGGAAAUUAAACAAAGAAUGACCCGCGAAAGAUGGAUCACCACAAUGGAGGUAACCGACCAGAGGGCUGAGAAGCAUUCCAGAGACUGACAAGUGGAAGUGGUUUCAUUAGGACCUGUGAAGUAAAUUAACCUUGCUGGUUUUCACUUGGAAAGGAGAACAACAAUCAAAAACUAGCUUAGCAUAUUUAGCAUACCAAGAAGAUGUCAACCCUGAAAAUUACUUCGAUGCUUUCCAAAUUCCUUACUGCCAGAGGGAAAACGACAAGCAUUGGGAGGCCGAGCCAUCGUGUUUUUGUCACUGCCACUUCUAGACCACUGCAAGUGAGUUGCCUGUAAUUUCUGGCAUAUAUAAACAUGUUUGUGUGUACCUGUGUGUCUGGACAAUUUUGUUCAGUUUUUUGUUCACAGUCAUUCAUAUUUUAUACCUUAAAAACGUGUAAGAAAGAGAUUAGUUUUCUCGUACAAAAUUUCUUCAAUUCAAUAACAUUCUUACGAUACAUUGGUACAACAAUGGCGUGUUCCACUAAACCCGUAGAGAAGACAAUGUGUGUGGUCUCUAACCAAUUCAAAUCCUGAAAUCCACGCACUUUUUUCACUGAAAAUUACUAAGUAAACAAACGGGCCAUGCUUUUGCUUAACUAAUUAAAACACAUCAUGAUCGAUCAUUCAUUUUUAUAACUUGUGUAUGAAAGAUUCGGAGUAUAUAGUGCUUUUUUCCUCCAAAAAACUUAACAAGAUCUACAGGACAAAAAGGAUAAACAGACAGCAGAGGCAUGUCAGAGUGUAACAGAGGCAGCAGAAUCAGUUAAAGAUGGUGCAAGAUCAGUGAAGAAAGCUGCUGAAACUGUAAGAGCAGUGUUAAUGAACAUCAUCUGUACAGAAAUGUGCAUAUAUAUAUAGACUUCAAUCAAAAGAACGUAUUAAUUGUGCAUAAAUUAUAGAGAAUAUUAAUAAAUCUGUUAUUGUUUUGUGCGAGAUGAUCAGGUGACAAAUAUGAGUAAGGAGGUGACAAAAAAAGUAUCUGACACUGCAGAAGCCAUCACAGACAAGGCUGCUUCAAUUAUCAAGGAAAAAGUAGUUGGCAAGUAGAUUGAUGCUUGCUGUCAUGAUCAAGAACACAAAGAGACUAAUAUUUUCAUUUCUAUUAGUUUCUUAAUUCCUUCAACUUUUUGUAACUUGCCUUUUCUCAAGUUGAUAAAUGUUCGAUUUUCUCUGUUUUUUACCUUCUUAAUUUAAUUUUCUCUGGAAUACUAACGUAGACAUUAUAAUAAACUAAAGACCUUAAGCUAGAUGAAACGCCUCUUGCGACGUUCGUGCAUGAUCUUGGGUUUAGAUGCUCUGUUUCUGCUUCAAAAUAUAUUAGGGCCAGGUGAGCUAUGGCUGUAUCAUCAACAAUAUCAUAUUAUACCUAGAACUGAAGUUGCUGCAAUAAACAUGCAUGGGCCGGCAACGUUUAGUGGCACCAGGACAUGGCUAAUUAAGUGAUCCUAGGUGGGAAUUCUGUGAACGGGCAGACACUACAUCAUCUAACCUGACGUCCAUGCCCAAUUAAGUGAUUGAGUUGAGAGCUAUUACCAUCUGUCAUUAGAAACACCAUAUAAAGACAAAGUAACCCUGCAAUAUAUAGAACAGACGAGUUACAUUAUGCGGCAAUAUACAAGAUGGUGCGCGCGCUUCAGCAUUGCCAAGUCUCCCCACUACCUGGCACAGUCUCUGAGAAGUCACAACAACUCUUCUUUUUUGAAUUCCCCAUUUCUGAGUUUUCCUAUCCAACAACUCUUCUUUUUUGAAUUCCCCACUUCUGAGGAUCAUUUUCAUCAAUAUGUCAUUCCAACCCUUAAGCAUUACACUUUCUGUCACUCUCAAACACUUCUUCCCUUGACUGGAAACUUGGCAUUUCCUUCCAAUUCCAGCAAGCCUGAAAUUCGUUAAAAAGAUGGCGACUCGGUCACACUAAUCUUUGCUGAGUGUAGCAAUGAUUUUAACCAUCUUGUAGAAAAUUAUGCUAGAAAUGCAUCUGAUUUCCAUUAUCAGAUGAUCUUCUAGCUCAACUUCGCCAGGGUCCAUGUCAAACGACACGCUGUUAUGGUGCUACCAUCUCAAAUUUCAUAUAUAAGGUCAUGAUCAGGAGGAAAAGAAAAACUUUUAGUGGUUACUACCAUGCUACGAUGGGGCUCCUGUCAGAGAUCUUAAAAGGGCUUGAGCUUGAAACUAUUUUUUGGUGGCCAUAUAUAUUUUUCAAUUUCUCUACCAGGAAGAAUUAGCCGACCAUUAGGCCAUGAAUAAAUUCGUCUGCUAAAGUCGUACACUCAUAUGUGUCGUAGUUUCAUGUUAAAUUUACUUUCUCACUUCUUUUUUUCUUCAGUCAAUAGGCGAUCUCUAGCAACUUUUCAUUUCUUAUGAGCAAGUUUUCACUCUUCCUUGCGCGUACAUCGUCCUUUUUUGAGUCGGCCUCACUCUGCUUCUCAAACAUUAAAAAAAAGAAAGCAAACUCUCACCCAGACUGCAGAACACUACUUUCGAUCCGAUAAUGAUAUUAUUAACCAAGCAAAUCAGGGGGGAGAAUGAAGUCAAGUCAAAUAUCUCUAUUUUACAGGCCAGGAUGAGCCUAAACUCGAUUACGGGAAGGCAACUAACUAAAUCUGUCUCCGUAUUAAAUUUCAAGUACAAGAGUUAACACUGAUUUCCAAUCAGGCCAGACCCAAUCCCAUAAAAGACUCUAAGAUCCUUCACGGGCCUUUUUCCUUUUCUCUGAUAAUUUGAGACCGAGUAAAAAUUUUUAGUCCGUCUUCGUAGUUAUAAAUCUCAAUCUAACUCAUAAAUUGGUUUAAGAUUAGAGCUGCUUGGGUUGAAUAGAUUUAACACCGAACCCAUUUCUUAUUCAAUCUUAUUCGAGAUUAAGAGGAACUGUGGACCAAUUUAUGUUUCAAAAUUUGAAAGACGCAUCUUCUAGAUUGCAAAUAUUGAUAUUAACAUGAGUUUCAGAUAAUUAAAAGAAUAAUUUACAUUGAUCACUAGUUUGUUUUUAAACGGUAAUGGUGUCGUGUCAUGAAAUAAUUUCGCCUAAAAGGGCAAGAAGGAUGGCAGAAAGGACCUAGCGAAGCAACGAAACCGGGGUUGAAAGGAAGCAUCAAAAGUGAUGAGCAAUGUCCAGGUCUUUAGUUUUUUUUUUUUAUUAUUAACGUGAUUUUUCGAGCCAGUUUGUGCGCACCUCAACUAAUCUCACAAAUCCUGAAAUUAACGACCAUGUAAACCUUCAGUGGUCCUGAGGUUUGUGAGACUUGAACUGGUGAUCUCUAGAUAACAAAUCUAAAACCUGACCAGUUGAGUUACAUCCCUCAGGAUUCCAGUUCUAUAGUUCUUGAUCUUGCCAGUGAUGAUCGUGGACUCGUGGUCUAUCUCUUGAGGCACAAAAACUCAAAGAGCAGCUGCAGAUCAAUUAUCCAGUAAUAACAAGCAUAAGAUGAAAUUAUGAGGCCAUGCAUUGGGCCACGUGGUUGCAUAUGAUAGUGCAAGACACAAACUACAGUCUUCACUGCUGAUGAUAGUGCAGUCCUUUCCAGGCGUAAAGUUGUGCCUUUGCUAAAGUAGCUCAGCAGUCUAAGAUCUUUGGAAAGGUACAAAUGGACUGUGUGCGAAUUUGGAAUCUAAUUCUUCGAUGUUAAUUGCCCAACUGGGAAAUGAGAAAAAGGUUAAACCCAGACCCCGUUUAUGCACGGACAGGGUGCCUGUUCAUGAAGGGAAUCAGAGACCCAACCCAUCAUGAGACCCACCCCAUUGGAGUUUAAUGGUCAAUCCAAUGACUUGAUGUUUGAGUCAGUCAAUCUUUUGUGAACUUUCCACUUGAUAAUUCCUUUCUAUCCAUCCUAGAAAUGUCUUAAUUUGAAUACUCUUCUCACUACUCAGCUUUCUAUACUCUCUCCAGUGAACCAGAAAGCAGUCCCGAGUCUUUGCUCAGCCAGCAGCAGGGCCCCUGGGAGAAACCUGAGCAACUAAGAAGAGAUGCUAGCUUGGUGCUGGGGUCCAAUAGACAUGGCCUUAAACCAAUCAAUUAAAGACCAAUUGUCCAAUGAUAUGAUGUAAUGUUUAUCCAUCUGGUUUUCCAAGAAGCUGAUCACUUAUCCUGUAAUUGUAUUGAUCUUUAUUCUAUCACUGUCUAUGCUAUCUAUAAAUUGGGACUUAAGAUUUGUAAGAAAGCAGAAGUUAUUCAGUGUCAACCUGACCCUUGUGGAGCAUUACAAUACCAAAAGCUAAAGCCUGCUAUUAUAUUGGCUCUAUUCGUUGUACUUCAUGUAGUAAUAACGAAUGCUAUUGACGUUUCCAUCUUUACAUUAUAAAGAACAAAGAGUUUCAAACUGACGAAACAUAUAAGAAACAAGCUUCUCCUCUACAUAGUUUUGUGACCAUUCAAAUUUCUCACUUGAAACCUGUUUUGGAGUUAGAAGACGAUGAGUAUAGUAACGAGGAAACAGAGAAACUUGAGUUUUUGCUCUUUGGAUACAGACUUUGCGUUACUGGCUUUGAUGAUGAUGUUGCUGGAACUACUCCACUCGAUUUCUUAUUUUCUUGAUUAUCAGUUGCCGGUGAUCCCUUAAGGAGCACGUCAACCUUUGCAUACUCCUCUCUUUCAUGUUUGAUCUCCUUAAGCAUUGCAGCCACGUCUUUCAUAUUUGGCCUUUCAUCAGGGGAUGAAUUUACACACAGCAAGGCGAUGCCUAAUGCUUGCAUCAUUUCUUCAAUUUCUGACGCCGGUCGAGGGAGUAGGCUUGGAUCUAACACUUCAAUUCCUCCCCUCUUCUGUCUCACCCAAUCCACCACAUGUAGUCCAUCUGGUAUUGUUGGAUCAAUCGGUUGCUUGCCUGUCAAGACUUCUAAUACCACCACACCAUAGCUAUAAACAUCACUCUUUUCUGUGAUCUUCAUCAUGUAUCCAUAUUCUGCGUACAACCGAGAAAUAUUAGUGCAGGAUUGUAUAUAUCAAAAAGGACAUAUGAGAACUGAACUGUAGCAAGAGGACUUACCAGGAGCAAUGUAUCCGUAAGAUCCAGCAACUGUAUUGGAUGACCGGGCAAAGUCACCAUCAUCAACAAGCUUGGCAAGGCCAAAAUCAGCAAUGUAAGGCUCAAAUUCAAGGCCAAUGAGGAUGUUAUUAGCCUUGAUAUCCCUAUGAACAAUUGGAGGGACACAAUCAUGAUGCAAAUAAGCAAGACCUUGAGCUGCUCCCAGCAAAAUUUGGUAUCUAAGUUCCCAUUCCAAUGCAUUUCCUGUUUUUUCAUGGAGGAGACUACCCAAGCUUCCAUUAGGCAUAUAAUCAUACAUAAGCAAUCUUGUAUUUCGAUUCCAACAACAACCCAAGAACCUAACAAUGUUCUUGUGCCUGAUGGAACCAAGUGUUUUCACCUCUGUCGAGAAGGAAUCACGGACACUACAUUUUUCAUCAUUGCAUCCGUUGGAUGCAGCCAUUGUAUUUGGCCAAAGUUUCUUCACUGCAAUUACUUCACCGUUGUCCAUAUCAGCACGAUAAACAACCCCGGAACAUCCUUUCCCAAUUACGUUGGUAUCCACCAGGCAUCUCAGUACUUGAUCGACCGAGAAAUUCAAUUUCUGGAAUGGAGUGAAUUGCCAGGGCCAUGAAUCGCCCAACUCAGAAUCAUCAUCAUCUCUGAUUGUUCUUCGUGCCCGCAUAAUUGCAAUUGCUCCCAUAAUCACCAUUGCUACAGUCAAUGUGAUCAACAAAGCAAGAGCUAGCUUAAGCUUUCGUGAUUGCCUUGUGUCAUUCUCAUUUCUUGGUAGCCCUGUCCUGUCAGCAUCCUUCAAGAAACACGAGUCCCGGAUUGAAGAACAUAAUCCUUGGUUACCUACCAAGUCUGUCGGCGAUAACUGUCUAAACAGCUUAUUAUCAGGGAGAUAACCGAUGAAGGCAUUGUAAGAUAUGUUGAGAGAAACAAGGUUGUCAAGCUCUGCAAGUGGACUUAAAUGUCCCUCAAGCUUAUUAUGCGAAAGGUCCAAUAUUGACAGCAUAGUCAGCGAAGAUAUCUGAGGUGGGAUUGGUCCUGUAAGUCGAUUGCAGCUGAGAUUGAGGGCAAUUUCAAGAGUUUCAAUUUGACCCAGUUCCAUUGGGAUGCUGCCAGUGAGCCCAUUGCUGCUGAGAUCAAGCAAUUGAAGACUAGAUGAUAGGCCAAGAGACAAAGGUAUUGAUCCAGAGAAUGAGUUCCUACUCAACAUGAGCUUGUUCAGUGAUGUGAGACGACCAAAACUUGCUGGUAUCUGACCAGUAAAUUGAUUAGCUGAAACAUCCAGGACCUGGAGGCCGGUUAGAGAAGACAAUGAAUUGGGCAGAGGACCCUGUAAGAUGUUGUUGCUAAGGUCUAUCAUUUGCAGUUCUGUGCAGCUUCCAAUCUCAUCAGGCACUGGCCCAGAAAGGCGAUUGCUGGAGAGAUCAAGAAAGUUCAAGAUCCCAAGACCUCCGAUUUCUUUAGGAAUGGUACCAGCAAUCCUGUUGUUACCAAGCCUUAAACGCACUAGAGAGCUACAGUUACCAAUUUCUGGUGGUAAAGCACCAGAAAUGUCAUUGGAUAUCAUGAGAAGUUUUGUGAGGUUUUGAAGUUGAAACAGGCCAGGAGGAAUGCUACCGGUGAGUGAAUUGUGGGACAAGUCUAGUGCUUGGAGGCUACUGCAACUAGCCAAACUUGAAGGAAUGCUUCCUUCAAGCUGGUUUUGCCAGGCAAAGAACACGGUGAGCUUCGACAACAUUCCAAGUUCAGGUGGGAUCAAACCUGAGAUCUGAUUUGUGUCAAGUUGCAGUUGCAAAAGGUUGGUAGCAUUUGAAAGAUCGGAUGGUAUUGAACCAGACACGUUGUUAUCACUAAUCAUAAACUCUUCAAGCUGAAAAAGGCGUCCUAUGGAAAUAGGUAUAGUCCCGGAAAGAGAAUUCAAAGAAAGAUCAAUCAUUUUCAAGCUAGUACAGUUACCAAUCUCUUCGGGGAUAGCUCCAAUAAGACUAUUUUGCCACAACAACAGUUGUUCAAGCUUAUGAAGUUUACCAAUCUCAGGAGGAAUGGAUCCAGAGAGACUAUUUUCGUAAAGAAACAAGUUUACAAGCUCAGAGCAGUUACCUAAAUCAGGAGGAAUCUCACCGGAAAGCAUUGUCGUAUAAAUGGACAGUGUUUGCAGUUUGCUUAGCUUUCCCAAUGAAACAGGCAAAGAACCUGAAAUUCUUGUAUCAGCCAGUCCCAAAACAGUCAAUUUGCUGCAAUCUGCAAGCUCAUCAGGAACUUUUCCGAUGAUGUCUUUGUUGCCUCCAGCUCUAAGGACUUGAAGACUGGACAGCUUGCCUAGCUCAGGUGGAAUAUAUCCAGCAAGACGGUUAUCGAAAAGAAGCAGAUUCUUGAGUCGAAAGCAGCUGCAUAGCUCAACUGGGAUUUUUCCAGUUAACUGAUUUGAGUUCAAAAUCAAGUUCUCAAGAUUUUGAAGCUUGCCAAUACUAGCAGGUAUGGUUCCAACAAGACUAUUAGAGCUAAGGUCAAUAAACUUGAGUGAGAGACAGUCACCAAUAUCAACUGGGAUAGUUCCAGUGAUAUUAGCAUCAGAAAUGACAAGUUUACUAAGAAAGUGAAAUGAAGAGAGGUUCAAUGAGAAAGGAAUCUGAAGAGGAACUGACUGAAUGUUUAUCUCAGUGACAAAACCUUGUGGAGAGCAAGUUAUGGAGGUCCACUUGCACGGUGUGGAAUCAAGAUUGUUCCAAUUAGAUAAAGAAGAAGGUAUUGAAGGAGAGGAAUGUAGCCAAGAAAAGAGAAUAGAGGCUUCAUGAUUUGGUAUUGCAGCAGCAGAAGCGAAAAGAAGAGCUGAGAGAAGAGUGUUAAGGAUAAAGAAAGAUAAUGAAGUAGGAGGAGGAGGAGGAGAAGAGAAGAGGAGGUUUUGCCUCGAGCUGGGUAUCGACAUUUGCCUCAAUUUCCAAAACUUUCUCCUCGGGUUUGCAUCAUUGGGUUUUGCUACUUCUACUUCUCUCUCUCUCUCUCUCUGGGCGCGCUGAAACAUUAUACUUCUUUCUCUUGCUUCGAACUCAAACUCAAAACAAGUACUAUAGUGUUCAGCACCUUUGCCUAGUGAUGCAAAACCAAAGCACAAACAAAACCGUAAACAAAAGAAAAAAUAACCCUCUAAGAUAUCAUUGAACAAAGUGAAAAACCAAUGCCUAGAGAUCAACAAACUGCUGCACCACCUCCACCUCCACCACCAUCACACACCCUCACCUAUAGGAUCCCACUGGUGUCUCACCCUCUUUCUGACAUACAAAAAAAUAAAUAAGGAUUUUGCUGGGAGGGUUCACGCGCAGAGAAGAGAGGCACCACAUGGGCACAUGACUUUUAAUAUCUUUCUUUGUUUAUUUGCAGAGAAUUGUUUAAUUUGUAUUAUUCAGCAGAGAAACAGGUUUGGCUUUAUUCUAGUUUAGUUUCUUAGACUCCAUUGCAAAUAAGUAUAUACACAUAGAAACUGUAGUAAAGAAAUGAAAGUGUGUGGAUAGCGUGUUGGUAAAGAAAUAAUACUAUGUAUAACAUGAAUCUUACAUUGAACAUGCCUUUUAAAAAUAGCUAAUCUAGGGUAUGCAUGGGAAAAUUCCCUUAUAUUGACCAUACAAAGCACGCUUUUCAAGAAAUAGGGUUUUCUCGAAUAAAAAAAAUAGUUAAGUUUGUGGAACUUAAGAUGCAAUAAAAAAAUAGUUAUGUAUGCAUUGCGUCUGUGUAAAAUUAAGAUGCAAUAUUUACCAUUCUUUUCAACAAGAAAAUCCUGUUUUUUUUUGUAUUGUCUGAUAAUCAAUCAAAAGUAUAUAAUGCAUCACUUUAUUUUGGCAAGUGACUACUUUAAUGUACAUUUUAAGGUUAGGAAGGAUAAGUAUAUGAGUAGCAACUGAAUUUGAAUAAUACUAUGUAUAACAUGAAUCUUACAUUGAACAUGCCUUUUAAAAAUAGCUAAUCUAGGGUAUGCAUGGGAAAAUUCCCUUAUAUUGACCAUGGAUUGUAUUCUAUGUGCUAUUAAUGGGUUUUUUUUAUCCAUGUAGAUUGAUCUUGUAUUGUAAUUAUUAUCAUAUUUGUUAAACAUAUUCAAGAUUUAAUAUGAUUAUAGCUUAGGUUAUUGGAAUUCAAAAUGAUAUUGUCAUGAAUUUUUUAACUAAAAUAAUGUUUUAACUAAAAUAAUGGAGCUUUGGAUAAAGAUUUUGAAAAAAUUAAAAUAUUAUUAUUUUAAAUUAUAUAUAUGUUUGAAUUGGCAUGUCAUCAAAUCAAUCUUAGCAGGUAGAUCAUAUUUAAUAAUUAUAAUUUUUAAAUUGAGUUAUGUGGAAACAAAUAGCAUUAUUUGAUAGUAAAAAGAAAAUGUUGUGGCAAAUAUUCCUUUUGAAAUCAAUUGGAUGGUUGAGAGUGUAAUUAUAGUUGUUUUUUAAAGUAUUUUUUUCUCGGAAAUGUAUUAAAAUAAUUUUUUUAUUUUAAAAAAAUUAUUUUUGAUAUCAAUGUAUCAAAAAUUUUUAAAUAAAUAAAAAAUAUAUUAUUUUAAAAUAAAAAAUAAAAAAAAUAAUUUUUUUCAAAAAUAUUUUUAAAAUACAAAAACAAACUCUCGUUGUUUUUAGUUUCAAAGUUGAAGAACUUUCAACGUCCCUUAGCUUGGGACUUUCCCGAUGGUUUUCAGGCCAACUCCAUUUUUGAAUAUCAUGUGAGGUUUCAAACGGUUUCAAGGCGGUGGACGUUCAACAUCAAAACUGUUAAGAAAGCUUCAGGCAGAAUAGAAAACUUCUGAAUAGUAAGGAUCAAUCUGGGAUUUUCUAUACUUAAAAUUAACCAACUCUUGAUCGGGGGAAGAAGCGAUGGAGAUUGAAGAACCUCCUCUCGUCUGAACGGGAAACAUACUUAAAGAACGGCACAGUAAAUCACCAGAUAAAAUCGAUCAAUCCAUCCUAGAAUAUUGAAAGGUAAUUACUUAACAAGUGUUUGUCAAAAAGUUCCCGACCAGAUGAACAGGGGGGCUUGAUAAAGUAUUUAGUUCUGUCACCACCAAGAUUAUAAGAUACAUAAUGCAUUAUGGACCACUUAAUAUUAAUUAGUUCUCUAGUGCCAAGAAUUUCUUCGAGGAUAGAGAGUGUGCUAAAUACAUAUUUUGAUUUCGAAUUCUCGUCAAGACAGAAAGCUUAGUACAGGGUGUUACAAAGAAACCUGUCCUCGCAGUGGUGUACCGCUUCACUCAUUUUAAUUUCUGGAAUGUGUGUUUAUUUCAAUCGUGGAGGUCGAGUUUUGUGCGUGAAAUCUAUCAAAAAAAAAAAAAAAAAAUAAGAAAGAUUAGUUUUUGUAGUUGAGUUUUGUGUAUAAUUGGAUUGUAUCGAUCACAAUCCCAAUCAUAAAAACUAAAAUAAACACAGUAUCAAAAGUCUCCUAUAUAUAAGGGGAUUUGUUUUGCAGAAAAACGCAAAUCAAUUUGUUUUGCAGAAAAACGCAAAUCAAGUUUGAAGUCUAAAUUAUAUUUCUAAAUCCACUUAUCUAUAAAAAAAACCUCAAAUUCAAAUAAAAUAUUUUCCAAUUCAUUUUGUUUGAUUCGAGUUAUCAAAUUAUAACUCCAAAAACAAAAAUACUUUUCAAAAAUACAACUCUAAUGUGCAAUCUUACAACUAGUUUGAAGUUUGAUAGGAUGCUCAAUGCCAUGUUUGAUAUUGUAAUCCAACCAUGCUUUUAAAAAUUUUAUUUUUUUAUAUUUUUUAUUGUUUUGAUGCGCUGAUAUCAAAAAUAAAUUUUAAAAAAUAAAAAAAUAGUAUUUUUAUGUGUUUUCAAGCGAAAAGUACUUUGAAAAGUAAUAUUUAACACACUCCCGAUAACGGUUGUUUUUUAAAGUACUUUUCGCUGGAAAAUACAUCAAAAUAAUAUUUUUUUUAUUUUUUAAAAUUUAUUUUUAAUAUCAAUGCAUUAAAACGAUCAAAAAAUAUUAAAAAUUAUAAUUUUAAAAAACUGAUGGGUUCCUUGGACAUGCAAACAGUCAUCUUUAACUUGCACUGAAAGUAACAAAGUGUGAUCAAGAUGAGGGUACGAUGAUCACUUGUUCUACAAGCUUGAAUAGUGUAAGAUCAUGCGCAGUACUAAGCGUGGGUAAGUAAUUAAUCUACAUUAAUUAAGCAAUUUUACAAAUAUUAACCUUAUUUUAAGUUUGAUUUAUCUGCAUUUUACUGUGUCCAGUCACGCUCUAACCGAGAAGCUACAGCCUACAUGGGUAGCAAUAUUUUUGCUUUAAAAAAAAUUGACCUGACAAACAUAUAUUUAAUAAGUAGGAGCAUCCUUCGAACGAAGAGAUUAGGUAGAGAUCACAAUCAGAUCCAAUGUUAUUAAUUUGUGUGUUUUUAAAUUUUAAUAUACUACAGGAGCAGCUCCAAAAUUUCUUAGGAUCAUGUAUUUCUUUAUGUUUACCUCUGGAGAAUAAAGACUUUUAGGAGAAAUAGUUUUUUUUUUGUGUUUCGAAUAAAUUUUAAGAAAAUUUUUUAUUUUUUAUUUUUAUUUUUAUUUUUAUUUUUAAAUUGUUUUGAUGUGUUGUUUUAAUGUUUUGAUAUUAAUAAUAAAUUUUUAAAAAUAAAAAAAAAUGUUAGUUUAAUGUAUUUUAAAAUAAAAAAUAGUUUUAAAAUAAUAUAUAAAAAAAAAGUCAAGGUCUGCCUGCACCGGCAUCUUCAGUACUGCGAGUCACCAAUAAAGUAAUAUAUUCAAUUUAAUGAGGGACUUGAAAAAUAUUUAACUAAUCAGUGUAGUCAAUUUUGAUUGAUAGUCAAGACAGUCCUCUCUUUUAUUUAUUGCCACUUGAUACCCACUUUUUUUUUUCUUUUUGGUGUACCAACCCACUUUAUAUGCGUAGCUUCAACGGCUACAUUUAAACAAUUUUCAUAGUUAAUUUAAGGGUACGGAUGCGCUAAAAAAAAAACCAAAAAAAAUAUUAAAUUAAUUUUUCAAUGUUUAUUUUACAUAUUUCAGGAGGAAUAUUAAAUAAAAUGUUAGAAUACUAUUUUCUUUAUAAAAAUAUCAAAACCUUAUAAAAUAUUAUUCAUUACGAUAGUGUUUUUUUUACUAGUUUUUUUCUUCCAAAUCUAUGUUUUUUUAGUUUAUUUGUAUAAGAUUAUCAUGAUCUUAUAACUCGUAUCAUGGGUUUGAAGAGUUCACUCGGGUUGAUUAAAGUUGUUUUUUUAUCUGUUUGUUAGUUGAAUUCUUUUCAAUUUUAUCUUUUAAUAUUUUGUUGAUUGAAAAUUAUCCGAGUUGUUUUUAGACCUGCAAAAUCAACAAAGUCAUAUUAAAUUAUUAAAAUAGCUAUAUAUAAAAUAUAUUAAAAUAUAAUUAGCUUUCCUAAAUAAUUUAUUUUUCAUUAGAUACAAAUAAAUAAAAAAUAAUAUUUAUAUUAUUUAGAAAACCAUAUUACUAAUUUACUUCUUUUUCUAGAUAUCAUUUCCCCUUAGGAAUCUACCAACCAGACAAGAUUUUAAUUAAUAGUCAGAACAAUCCUCUAUAUAGCUACUUGAUACCCUUUUUUUUUUUUUAAGUUGUUUACCAACCCACUCUAUAUGUGUAGUUUAAUUGGCUAUUUGUAAACAAUUUUCAUAGUUAAUUUGAGGGUGGGGAGUUCAGAUUUGUACGUAUAACACAGAUGAAUCAUGACGUGUUCGAGUGUUAUGAACAGGGAGGGACUGGUUUAGUUAACUAAUCUUAGUGAUUAACCUGAUGAAAAACAUGGACGGAGGGGGGCUUGAUGCAAUCCAAGACAUAGAUUAAGAGAUUGAUAAUCAUCUAAUAGCUGGUACAGUAGUAAGAGUUUGAGAUUAAAAUAUUUGUUUCCAAUGUGAUUUCAAGUUCGAGCUACAUGAUUGUUAAUAUGAUAAUCACUAGAGGUUUACAUGGUUAUUAACUUCAGGAGUUGUGGAAUUAGUUGAAAUACACGUAAACUAGCCCGGAUAUCUACAUUAAUGAAAAAAAAUCAAAUUGUUAAUGACCUAUCAUAAUAGCAGAGGGAUCUCCCAUAAUUUUUAGCCCAAAGUUCAUGAUCCAUGUAAAUGUUGACUGUGGUCACAAGAACAAGCCAAGGGCUAGCCAUCAUGAGGCCAGGGAGCUCCAAGUGGGUCAAUCUUACACCCCACAAUCAUCAAAAGAAGGGGAAAGGGGAAGGAAACAAAAAGGAGAAAGAAGAAGAAGAAGAAGAAGAAGGCAACCUUAAUUGUGGGUAAAAUAAUUUAAAAUCAUGAUAUGAACUUGGAGCACCGGAGUCGAUUGGGGAUUUUAGCUUUAACAUCAGCACAUCCCUGAUUUUGAGGCCAUAUCACGUGAGGAAGGGAAUCCAAAUUCUGUAGCCCACUAAUUGCCUGACCUAAACCAAAUCCUGUUUCACAAUCUUAUAUUAUUAUAUGCCAUAAACUAUACUGUAUAAUUAUAGUAUAUUGUUAUUAUAUGGAUAAAGCAAAUUAUUUUGUUCCAUGUAAGCCUUGAUGCCCCCUCGGAUUGUUUACUUUACUUUAUUUAGGACCAUAAAGGGCCAAAAAAAUAAAGCUAAACGGCGCAGCUUCAAGCCCCCUGUUUCAAGGGUCGUGGCCUCGGGAAAUCCCCCAAUGGGAAUCUAUACACGUUUUUGUUUCUGUCACAAACCUCACAAGUUAGCCCGACACCAAUGGCCAGUGUUAACUUUGGAAAAUGGUUGGAUGUGGGUAUAAAUAAUAUAGCUGGAAAUAAGGGUGAGUAAGGAAAUUAAAAAAUUAAUUAAAUUUAAAAAACUGAAAAAAAAAAUUAAACCAUGAAAAAAAAUCAAUUAAACCAAUUAAAAUAUUUUUCAAAAUAUUUAGUUCGGUUCAGUUUCACAAACCUGAAAUAAAAAAGCCAAACCAAACUGAAAAAAAUAAAAAAACCAAACCAAACCGAACCGAAAUCAAACCCAUUAGAAAGUUCAAAAAACAAUAUAGUUUUUUGUUUUUAAUAUAAAAUAACCGAACCGCAAUAAAACUGAACCGAAACCAGUCGGUUUGAACCUGUUUUGGUUUUAUUUUUUGUAUUUUACAAAAUUUUAGUUUGGUUGUUUUUAUAGGUAAAAAUCAAAUCGAACUGAAAAUGAUCACCCCUAACUGGAAAACAUGCUAUGAAGAGAGCACUCACACUAUUUGGCUGGUGGUUGACUGGCCCAAGGCCCAGGUCACCGGGUCAUUCCAGGUCGACUCCCAAUCUUUUUUAUAAAAUAAAAUAAUAUUGUUUUUGUUAAAAAAAAUAAAUAGUUAACGGGUUGUGACUGAAUUUUUGACCAGGUCAACUCAAAUUUUUAUCUUCCUCUAUUUCUCUUAAACUCGACUUGGUUUCAGCUCUAAAUCAGCCGGUUCAUGAAUCGACCUACCCGGGUCUUAAAACCAUUCUAUCUGGUCUGAGUAGUCACCGUUGGAUUAGGUUUUUAUUUUAUUUUUCUCUUCUGGUGAUGUGAUAAAAGAAAGCACCCACACAGUCACACUCGCUCGCUCUGGUUAAUACACUUGACGAGGUCCGGCGUAUCACCAAGGCCUUCUAUUACAAGUGGGCCUGGGCUGGGUCAAUGUGUCGUCAAUGACUUAAUGACCUGGUUUAUUAUUUUUGGGUUUGUGAAGGCCUCUUGGGCCUAUUGGAAUAGGUUAGAACCUUGAUUUCUGUGACCUCCUCUUCCUCUUCUUUUUUUAUUUUUUACAGUAAUACAUGCUAUGGCUCAGCUGCAACUACGUGGAUCUUUUUGCCAUAUUCUUAGUCCAUUAAGCAUCUUUGGACUCGAUUAUUGGGCCUAUUUUUUUCCCUCUGUGUUCAAUUAACGAAUCCAUUUCUCCCUGUCGUUUACUUCGGAAAAGCAAUGGAAAUGGCGGCGGCAAAAGCAGCGUCUGGGGUGGUGGUGUCACGGCCGCUGACAUUCGUGACCGGAAACGCAAAGAAGCUUGAAGAAGUCCGUGCAAUCUUGGGCCAAACCGUUCCUUUCCAAUCUCUCAAACUUGACCGUACAAUCUCUCUAUAUACAUAUCCCUGUCUCUCUGUAGAAAAUAUAAAAUUUAUGCUUCUGGGUUUGAUUGUUGUUGGCGUUUACAGUACCCGAGCUGCAAGGAGAACCUGAAGAAAUCUCUAAAGAGAAAGCUCGUUUAGCUGCCGUAGAGGUACAACAUGUACUAUCUCUGUGUGUGCAAUUUAUUUUUUUGUUAUGUGUAAACAAAUAUAUAAUGUUUGUAUUUCUAUUGGAAAUUGAAGGUGAAAGGGCCUGUUUUGGUGGAGGAUACUUGUCUUUGCUUCAAUGCCUUGAAGGGUCUUCCAGGUACUAAUGACCUUGUUUGUUUGAUAACUUGUUCGUGUUUAUUUAUUUUUGUAUGAUUUUUUUUUCCAGUUUAUGAUUUUUCGUGCAUUUGUUUGCAGGGCCAUACAUGUAAGUUGUGAUAAUUUUUUUCUUCUAUUAUCAAGGUGAAGUUUCGUUCUUUUAACAAGCCUUCUGAUUAUGGAUUACAUAUCGAAUUGCAUUUCUUUUCUUGUCUACUUUCAUAAAUAUCGAUCAGAGGAGUUUUAGAAUGAUUGUUGAUGGGAGGGAAAAUAGUAUCUAGGGAAAUUCCAACUUGAUGAAAGAAGGCCAAACAUGCCCAAAUCAUACUCCCGUGCUAAGCUGAGAUUUCAGUGGUUAGCAUGGAUUAUCCCCAUGACUGUAUUCAGAACACUUCACCAGAGCCAUGAACCAUCCCAUCUUUCCAAUAUUAGAAGGAAUGUGAUGUUGAAAAGAAAAUACAGUCGCGAGGAAUAUUUCAUUGGUUAACAGUUCAGGAUUAAGAUUUCUUGGAUCUUCUCAAGCGCCUGGAUUAAGCUUUCAGUAACCUUUUCUUCUCAAAAGAUGUUCUGUUAAGUUGUUUAAUCUUUUUCUAAAGAAGUAUGAUUUAUCCAUCAUAAUAACAUGCAAAUAGGCCGAGGUAACAGUGUUGACAUGAUAAUCGACUCUGUCAACAGAUAUAACUCAUCUCUUCACCUGCUUAGAAUGUUCAUGAACACAAAGGUUCCAUUUUUUCAUUUUAUAUGCAAUUCCAACCUUGUUCUGUUCAUUGAGGUAGAGUAGAAAGAACUGGAGGGGGUCAUUUUUUCCUAAUACUGCGUUGCCCUUGCCACAUUAACUCCUCCAGAAUAUCUAAAUGACAUAGGAGAUAAAGGUGUUUGAUGCUCAACUUGCCUUAUGCUUUUUGCACACCUCGUCUUUCGUUUUUUUUAUCCUUUUGUGCCUGAUGACUUAGAAGAUCUUGCAUGAUUCUACCUCUUCCCUUCUUUUUUUUCUUCUUUUCAAAGGAAGAUUAAUGAGGUCUACGAUUUUUGUUUGUAUUUCUUUGUAAUGAUAUUGGCAAGGUUCCUAUCUCCUCUAUUUCUUUGAAAAUAAAAAAUUAUUAAUUUUAUCAAGCUCGACCUCGAGUUUUAAAAGAUUCAACAGUUCAGUAUCACCAGACAAUAAAGCGUUCAUCUAGUAGUUUUUUGGUAGUAUUUUCAAGAAUAUAGUUGUAACGAUCUUGUUUUGUGGUUUUUCUCUGCCAUCAUCUAACAAGACUAUCAAUUCACGCAGCAAGUGGUUUCUGCAAAAGAUUGGUCAUGAAGGUCUUUCUUUUCAUAGUCUUUUGUUCCUAUCAUUUUUAUGUUGUCAUUUUUGUUGGUUUCUUGUACAAAACACCUUAUGUCUUUUCUCCUUUCCUAGGUCUGAACAACUUGCUGAUGGCAUAUGAGGACAAAUCAGCCUAUGCUUUAUGUGCAUAUUCUUUUGCUCUUGGGCCUGAUGCUGAACCAAUUACAUUUCUUGGAAAAACUCUGGUACAUUUUCAAAACUUACAAGAAUGUAACAAAUAUUCCUACCCUGAGUCUCUUUUCUUUUAAGAUUUAAUGCAUCUAUAAUGCAAAUAACUGUUCCUGAAUCUUUUAUGCAAAAUAAUUUCUAGCCUAUGUUAUUUAGGAGGCCACUGUGCCAUUUUAAUUUGAAGGGAAUUAUGACCGAACUUUGACUACGAUCUUUCUCUUAGCAGUAACUUAUCCUAUGAAUUUUAUGUUGUGUCAGUGAUGCGUGUAAGAGCUGUCUAUUAAUAAUGAAUCAGAUAACUUUGUUGGUGGCUAUUUCAAGAAAAAGAGCACACACAUGCUGCCUUGACCCUUUUGUUUCAUAUAAUUUCCUGGUCAGUUAAUCAAAAUUUUCAAAUAUCAAAACAGAUACUUCUGGCUCCACCUUUUCCAUAACACUUGAAAAAUGUUACGAAGAGUUGAAGGAUUAAUUGCAUUGGGAACAUGUAUCUAGAUUACUUAUAUCUACUUCAAUUACGUUUGCUAUUGAGUUUUUUUUUUUUUUCCUUUUCUUUUCAUUUUUUUUUCUCACUUAGUCAAGGCCUACAUCCCAUUCUUAGUCAUCUGAAUACUUCUGGAUGGAUGAUAAUCUUGCUGAAGUUCUUGGUUGAAAAAUGCAAUAGUCUAUCAUAAGAAUAAAAAAAUCCUGGAAGAAGCUGCAUGAUGCUUUUUAUUUACAAUCCAGACAAAUAGAUGACUAAGGAAAAUUCCAUAAAAUAGGAUUUAGGAGUCACUGACUCAUUGCUUUGUCCUUUCCUGUCAAGAUUAUUAAACUCAAAUCAGGAAAAUGAUUUUCUGCUGUAUGCUUAAGUUGAGAAAUCAUAAUUAUUUUAAUGAACCAAAAAUAUAUAAUUUCAGAUACAGCUAUUUCUCAGGAAAACUGACAAAUACUAGUUAAAAGUUUAAAAUUAACAACAUACAAUCUGUGGCUUUAUUUUUUAGGGGAAGAUAGUUGCAGCGAGGGGACCUAAUGAUUUUGGAUGGGAUUCAAUCUUUCAACCUGAUGGCUAUGAGCAAACGUAAUUUUCCGCUUUGAUUCCUGCUGUUUUGGCCCAGUCUUGCUUGAUAAUUGAACCAAGAGGCAGCUAGAUUAUAUUAAUUUUCCUCUUUUACAGUUAUGCAGAGAUGCCAAAGGAUGAAAAGAACAAGAUUUCUCACCGUUCCAGGGCUCUUGAUUUGGUUAAAUCCCACUUUGCUGAAGCUGGAUACAUUUUCGAGACAAAUGACUCUAAAAAGAGUGAGCUAUAGUAGAUUUUUGGCAGUUAAAAAAGAUUUACUUGUGCUGCAGGAUCCACACUUGCUUAUUUCCAUGAUUGUCUUAUGUUAGGAAAAAAGGACGAGGAAUAGAGAAGGGUUCUUUUAGAGGGGGGGGGUCAAGAAGAAGGAUUUCCGUCAACUGUACUGCUAUUCUGCUGCGUAGAAAAAGUCAAAGUAGCUGUUUAACAUAUAUGAAUGAUUUCCCUCUGAACUGAGGUGGAAAAGUAAAUGUUAAAACCUUAAUUGAAAAGCGAAAUUUUACCUCUGACUCUCUUGGAUGAUCAUCUGUUUUACCAGGAAAGGAUGCUCUGGUUAAUAGUUAAUAUGAAACUUUUGAUAUCUCAUUGCAAGUGUGCAGAUUAUAUUAUUGCAUGUUUGUUACCUUUUAAUUAUGAUAAGUGUUUUUGAUAAGGCUGGUCGGGUCAACCGAAGCACUAGAAACCUGGUCAGGUUAAUUGGAUCUUACCAGGUUAAUAUCUUGUUUGUUGUACCAGUGUUUUAAGACCCUGGAUGAGUUCAGCUUGACAUUGAAUUGUUAGCGCUAGCGUUUGAACUCUGUAGCUUUCACCUCUUUAAGCAGAGAUUCUCUAUGUGAGCAGAUAUCACCAGCCUAGCGGCUUGUACCAAAUGUUGCAAAAACAGGCGUUAAAAUUUCCAUUCCUAGGCCACCUUUUUCUGCCCAAACAAGUCAGGCACCAUAUGUAGGUGAAAUCCAGAGUUUGGGAUCAUUCUAUGUCUGCUUAAAAAAACAAAGGGCACAAACAUCAUAUCCAUUGCACACAUUUAGUCUAUUAUAAUGUUAUGAUAGCAAUUAUAAGUCUAUAUUUAUGUCUAAGAAAAUUGUGAAACAGUUUUGGUUCAAUUGCUGGGCACUUCUAUGUGACAAGCAGCAUUCAAUCCUACUAUUCUUACCCUACUCGUCCAAGUUGUAGCCAUCAAUCAUGUUUUUCAUAAUAGAGAAGUUCGCCUGCCUUAACUCUUGGGAUUUCUUUUAGAUUUUGUGGAUGACGAUCAUGACAAUUGACAGAUAGUCUUCCCCACAAUCAUAAACGGACAACUUGCUAUCCUUUCUGGUAUUCAUCUCCUAGACUUGUUGUCCUAAGAUUCUGAUCUUACUAGAAUCUCAGGAUUCCCGAGAAUAAUGAACAAGCAGAAAGAUGCCCUCAUACAAUUCUGUUCAUGAUUUCUUUGGUAGAAUUCAUUCGACACCUAGAAAACUUCCUAUAAGGACUAGUUUGUGUUUCCAACAUUUCAACAGUUUGUCAUUUUCCAGUUUGUCCAUAACAUUUCAUUGUAUUUUGAAAGGAAUUCACUCCAAUGGUGGAAUCUGUACAUUUUAGUGUGAAAACAAUAAAGCCAUACUGGGAAUUAAUGAAGCAGAGCAACGAACGAUGCUAAAUGUAAAUGGCUAACUCUGGAGAAGGCUCUGAGAUGACAGCGCUAGCAACGUUCACAUGAAAACCAUGUAUUGUUGUUACAUGUUCAACUUGGCUAAAAAAUUAAAUUGGCCCCAUUUCUUACAGGUACAGAACUUCUCACAUGCCAUAUGGGACCCUGACUCACAGCAAAUCCAUGCGUUUUUAUCAUCUUUGCAUGUGAAUCAUACCUGUUAACCACCUCUCCUUCGGGUUAUCCUCUUCCUUCUGUAGCCAUCGGCUAAGAAGCAUCACAUGUUGAGAGACUUGUGCAUAAAUCAACAGUUCCGUUAUUGCCCAAAAACCAUGGUGGUGGUGGUGAUUGUGAACCACAUGGAAGGGGACAGGAAGUUCACCACGCCAUUGUGAGUGGAGGGGCGUCAAAUGUCCAGUCACUGUUUCUUGAAAUGAUUUAUAAGGGGUUUAAUUAGCUGUAUUGAGAAGAUCUAUAUGCUCUGAUAUUCCACCCAAAGCAGCAAGGCAGAAUGUGCCGUUCUGGUGGUGGUUCAACCUUAAUGAAAGUUUUGCUUAUUCAAUCUACCAUUUGGAAGUAGGGAAAUUUAUAGCAUUUACAUUACGGUUUCAAGCUCAUGAGUGAUCUUAUUAUCAUAGAUGCUCUGUUGAUUUAGAUUCAAGAUAUAUUUACUGAAGUAAGAAGUCGUCGCUCCUCAAGGCCCUGGCCAGCAAUGAAUCACGAGGGAUUCCAUUGGACAGGUGAUGAUGUUAGUUAUUAGUUGGUUAAUAGCUUUAUAUCAUGUGUAGGCAGCUGGUGCUCACAUGAUAAAAUCAUUUCUACCAUAGAACAAGGGAUCAUUUGUAAAUUGCACAAGAAAAAGUAAAGAUACGCAAAGCUUCCAUUGCCAAAGAAAAAGCAGAAAAAAGGUAAGAGGUAAAGAACUUCAUUGCUAUUUCUUUGCACUCUGUAACAAAGUUUUUCCAUCGACUCAGAUUUGAAAUCCAUGGUACUGCUUGCUUGUAUCACUAGACAGAUAAAAUUAAAAAAAAAAAAAGGAAAGGAAAGAAAGAAAGAAAGAAAGAUCACAAAUCAUUCAAAUCCUAUAGACUCAAAAGCCUAGACAGUAUGUGGAGAUCGACCAAGACUGACACUGUAGAUAUAGAUGCAUGACUGGUAGCUAGAAGUAAAGGAGAUGUGGAACUGGAAAGGGCAAAAGAAAUGGAAGGAAAGAGGUGAAAGAAAUAAAAUGAACAACGCUUCUGCGCCUGCUCUUCUGGAUAAUGGUAUAAGGUGUUGGUUUUCAUCUGAAGCAGGCCGAGGUUGAGAAAUAACAGAGACAAACUGGAAUGGAGAUGCCGAGAUGGUAUAGGUAUGACACGUGUAAAAAUUGUACACUUGCCAAUAUAUGUGAUGAAUGCAGAUAGAUAUGACAGAAACAAUGGCUGGGACACGAGUAACAGGCAGAAGUAGCAGGACUAUAUAGUUGUAAGAAAAAAUUAAAGGAAAAAAAGAGAGAGAAAACCAAGUGGCCUCUUUUUGACCACUUAAAUUUGACUGAAAAGACUAGCACUGAUGGCCCCUGCGGCAGCCAAGAACACCGGAAUUAGCAGUCAUUGCUCCGACCAUGGAAGAAGACUUGGCACCCAAGCUUGAAGCGCGAGCAUAGCUAGCUGAAGCUCCAGCCCCGGAUGGAGUGAAGUAAGCUCCAUUCGCCAACAGGUCUCCUUCUGACCUCCAAUUCCAGCUUUUCCAUUUGCCUGGAGCUGUAUCCACCCUCUUUGUCACCUGGUCAAACCAAUGAAUCAUCAAUAACCAGCCUAUGCAAAGUGCAUUUCACCGCAAACAUAAAAGCAAGGAGACAGAGAAUGAGAAGAGUUAACUGGUUGUAUAAUACCUCCUUUGCAAAAGGGUUGGCUGGAGCAUUAUAUCUGUUGCCCUGGCUGUUGAUGGUGGGUUCUGCACUGCCACCGAUGGCAUACAUUUCCCAGUGAGUGUAGUCAUUGUUUACCACGUGGAAGUACCCAUGUCUACACCUGCAUAAUUCAUGAAUUCAAGCAAAAGAAGGUUUAAUUUCUUGAAUUAGGCAAUUUUCUCCCUUGGUCAAGUUAAAGAAACUAUUUCUAUAUAAUCACUAGUGGUCAAUUAUUGGGGUAUAAUAGUAAUAAAGAGGUAAUUUCGGGAAGCCAAAGUCCUUUCAAUAAGAAAGAUAUAAUUAAAUGUUACCUUGGCAUUCUCUAGAUAUAAUUAAAUGUUACCUUGGCAUUCUCUGGAUCAGUCCCUCUCCAAAAUGGUUGUACGCAAUGGUCACUUGCAUUUGCUUGUCUCUGGUAUAAGAGUCACUGUGGCCCAGGAGCAUUACCUGUAUUAAAUGGCAUGCAAAACAAUAUUAGCUUCCAUCAACAAGAAAAAUAAGUAACAUUGAGAGUACCAAAAGGAUCAGCAAGCUAACCUCAUUAUGGUGGGUGAAGUGAUUGUUGGAGACGGUGAUGGCAGUCGAACCCAUAACAGCAUCAACCAGGCCAUCAGCACAGUUAGAAAGGGAAUUGUGAUCCACCCAAAUGUGACUUGAUCCAAAAAUAGAGAUGGCAUCACCAUCAGCCAUUGUCCUCCAUCCGUAAUGAGAUGGUGAGCUACGCACCAUAGCAUUGCCAGUGGGUUUGCAGUCAUGGAUGUGUAGACCAUGAAUGAUCACAUUGGUAACAAAUUGGAUAGUGAUGCACCCACCAUUAGCAAUGUGAACAUUGACCCCACGGCCAUCUAUGGUCUUAAAGCUGUUCAUGAUAAGUUCCUGCUUCAAUUGAAUCACCAUGUCCCUUUUGAACACGAUCCAUAGAGGAGCGUCCUGGAUCACGGCAUGGCGCAAAGUUCCAGGCCUUGGGUUCACAGGGUCAUGGUCACUAGAAUCAGUAACAACAUAGAAGCGACCAUCACGGCCACCGAUGGCAUUUCUGCCAAAACCAAUGCCACAGUCAGCAAGGCGCUUGCGGUUCUUGUGCCAGUUGGGGUCACAACGCCAGCAAUCAUCAAUAGGAUUGCCUGUUCCACAAGAGAAGUAGCCUAACCUCCUCCUUUCAGUACUGUUGCGGAUGUUCCUGCAAUCUCAAAUUCAAUGCUCUAUCAGUAUCAACAUUAAUAUCAUGAAUGCUAUUCAACCAAAAAUUAAAGCUCAUCUUUGAUAAUUACAAUCCCAUUUUUGAACUUCAACUCCGUUUCCCAUUUCCAAAAUGCUACACAAAAUAAUUUUAUAAUUUUAAUCAUUAACAUUUUAAUUACUAUUUUGCAUCAGAUAAUUAUUACCGAUUUCAUUUGAACACUAAAAUCUGCUGACUUUUGUGUCGGUGGAAAAAAGGCCACAGCUAACUCGGACAUAUGAUUAGUGGCACCAGGAAACAAACAAUUUGUCAUAUUGUGAGGACCAUCAGGUCUUUUCAGUUCUAACGGGUAGAAUUAUCUUGGCUUAGUGUACAUGACAUGUACGUUGUGUUGUCCAGCUUCAUACAUGAAUGAAGCUGUCACCUCAGAUAGACAAUGCGAAUUAAGAACCCACAUGCUCUCUGCAAUCAACUCCAUGAAAUUUCACAAACCCAUCUUCAGCUACUUGAAAAAAACCCAAUUAAAUAAAUUGAUCUGCUGCUGAGAUUUUAAAAGGCCUAUCAACAAAAAAUGGGAAAAUGACAAAAAGUAGAAAAUUGGGUCUCUCCCUUUAUAAAAGCCAAACUCUUUUAUAUAUAUAUAUAUAAUCCAUACUGGUAGGUCACGAUCAAUUAAAUCACAGCUACAAAAAAGCAUCCGACUAAGACAUCACUGGUUAAAUUAUGUGAAAAGGAGGUGUCUAAAUCAGUCCCAUGUUAAGUAAAAUACAGUGACCAAUAGAGAUAUUAAGUAUAAUUGUGUUCAUAAGAAAUCAAAAUCUGUACCUAUCAAGUAUAAUUUAAUUUACAUGGAUAAAGAAAAUAUACAAAAGAAUGAUAUUCUUGGAACACAGAUCUCACUCAUUCACUGCCCCUACUACAACAACUACAGUAGCUGGCAGGUAGUGGAGAGAAACAACGUGAAAAGGGUCAAAAUAUGAACAGCAUAUCAGAUUUAGGAGAGGAACGUGCUGGGAGGCUGAUUCCACAUAUUCCCAUUGUCCCUUUUAUUAAAGUGCAAAUCCCACAUGAAAGAUUAAGGCAUCAAGGGAAAUUUCUUCUUUUUUAAAAAAAAAAAACAUUAACUGGUCUAGUGGUAGUAAGUAAUUACGAGAGUAGCAUUUUCUAAACACCUACCAUAAGCACCAAAUCCUCGCUCUAGUAGUGAAUUCGGUUAGAUUUCAAGUGCUAUGUCGGAAUGUAAUUAAAGGGCAAUAGCAAUAUUAUUAAUUAAUCGCUCCUAAAACAUUAACGAGAGGGUAGAGAAAGUGACAUACAUCUCAACCAUUGAAACCACCUCUUCAGGAUCAGCAGCAACUGCUUUCUCAUUAAAUGCAUCAGCCUCUUCUUGAGACCUAAAACAACCACCAAAAAUUAACAACCUUCGAGUAUUAAGUUAAAUCAACCAAACCCAAUUAAGGACUAGUGGAAAGGUGUGAAUCCCAGGAAGGGAGUGGACAACAUGUGGGACACACAACGAAAGUAAUAUGUACAGAGAGGAGAGUGGAGUGUGUGCAUUGCUCAAGGCGUCGGUCACUGACUGCUAAGUGACACCGUUAAAACGCGUUUCUCCAGGAAAGUAAAACCACAGGGUCGACUCGAGGGCGAGAACAUAUUUUUAUGACUAAACUGCCCUUGUUUUGUCCUCAAGUGAGCAGUGAAAACAAACGUGGAAUUCGGGAAAAGGUGUGAGGGCAAUAUUGGAAAGCAGGACUCUUGGGGUUUCUCGUUAAUCUUAACCGAGGAAUCCAAAGGUGGUAGUAGUAGCAAAUAACAGAAUAAACGAUCCAGAUCUGAUGAUCUCAACGGCCAAGAUUCCUACGGUUACUUUGGAUAAAUAAGAGACAUCUACCUGACCAAAAAAAGACAGUACAUAUAAACAACGGCUCAGAGUAACCGUUAAAAUUAACGUUAUACCUGGCCGCCAUUGUUGAGUUGCUUGAGCUCUGUUCCUUCUCUGCUUCUACAUUCCUGAGAAUACAACAAAAACCCAUAAUGUAAACAUUUUAGGAGAAAAAGUAGUGGAAUUGAACGGUCUCUCUCUGUUUUUUUCUCCUUCAAUCUCUCUGUUAAGUUUGUGUGCUCCAUUGAUGAAGAGAAAGCAACUCCCCUUAGUUUUGUGAAAAUGGGCAUUAAUGGAGUUGAAUCAACAAGCAGAGAACCGAAAUCUUGGUUUUACAGAUUUUCAUUAAAACACCAUAGACUGUAGCUUUUUUUUCUUACAAUCAUGAGAUUUUCAACCCAAAAAAAAAUCAAGUAUGUAAAAAAUAUUUCAAUUGCAACCUCGAAAGAAGCUCAUUGCAUAACAGUUAACAUAAUUUCAAUUUUGGCAGAAGCUGGGAGAACAAAAAAUAAAAAUACAAAUCAGAGAAAGCUCUGUUUCUUUUAACCCAAAACGCACACAAAGCAAGCACAAAGACAGAGAAGUUGAGCAGCUAAUUCUGUGUCUUGACAAGAGAGAGGCGCAUAUGUGUAAACAUAUACAUUUUGUGCGUUUAUAUGUUUACCUGGUAAGAGCAGAGAUCCCAACAACAUCGGGUCUUGAAGUAGCCACGACACCAACGAACAACAAUACAAUCACAGCAGAAAACACACAAACCCAUUUCUGAGGCACCGCCAUUGUCAUUCUCUCUCUGCUUCUUUCUCUCUCUGCGUGGAAAGAUUUGAGAAUAGAGAGAAAUAAAAGAAAACGUAAAGGGCAGGGAGAGAAAAAAGAACCUAAAGUAUAGAGUCAGAGUUUAGAGCUCCAACAUAACGGCCUUCUUAUAGACCCACCCAUGCAGUAACAACAGUACCUUACAACAUAAAAGUCUCUAAACAGUACAUUUAACGCCGUUAACUAGCUAAUAUAACCCAUAUAACGUUUUCCUUUUUCCUUUUUCUUUUUUCUUUUUGAGCUUUGACGAUUGACAUUACCUGCUGGUUAUUGGUUAGUUGUUAGGUUCCAUUUAACCUAACCUAACCCAACACAACACCCUGCUCUUCCUCUUAACCACUAACCAGGUAACCCUUCUCCCACGUGCCACUCACACACAUACACGAGAAUUUGCCUUCUUUUUUAUGUUUAUAUUUGUUCCAGCUACGAGUCAUAUCAAAAUCAAAUGACUACUUCAAAAAAAAAAAAUUGUAAGUGUAAAAUUGUAAUUGUUGUUAUUUUUUUUUACAUGUGAUAAAAUAUUUGAAAUAAAAAAUAUAAGUGUUGUUUUUUUUUUAAAUAAGAUAAAAUAUUUGAAAUGAGGAUUAAAAACUUGACAUAUAUAUCAGAAACUUGACAAACUCAACUAUCAUAUGCGUUAAUAAAUAAAUAAAAAUUAGUGUUGCUUUUUCAACGUAAGGGGACAAGAGUGUACUUUUUGUUCUGUUUAAAUGACAAUCAGGUUAAAAAUAAAUUAAAAUCACUAUCGUUUUAACCCUUAACUAACCCUAACUCAAAUGUGAAACAAUAGUCUGUCAACGAAUUAAAUCGCAACAAAAAUCUAUGAAGUAAAAUGAAAAGAUAGCAACACAUUAUAUUGACUCUUCAUAACCCACGAAAUUAAUGACCCAAGCAAUGGACACAACCACAAUGGAUUAACCCAGUUGGACAACAUGCUUCUUCUUUUUUCCUUCUCUUAUUCUUCUCUUGACUAAGCCCUGAUCAUAUCUCAACUAACCUCGGGUUCGAUUAAAUAAUGGAGAUGAGAUUUAAGAAAUAGAUAAAUGUUGAAGGAUGAAAUUGGAAAAACAUUAGUUUUGAAAAGGAAGAAAAAAAAACUAAGGAAACGCGAACGAAUCUCUUAGACCGAGGUUAAUCAUUCAAACUCGCAACUUGUAAAAUCCUAAAUCAGAGUUCAAUAAAGAAACUCAAUCCUCAGUCAAUUUAAUGUUUGAGGAUCAAAUUGUAAAAACAAACUCAAUUUAAAAAAAAUCUCCAAAGCAAAAAGAAUUGCAACAAAAAGAAUGAGAACCAAAGCACAUAGGAAAAAGAUUUGGAGGAUGACAUAGUAAAAAAACUUAAAUUCUAAAAAUUAUCCAGAACAAAACUAAUAGCAAUUAAAAUAAUAAGGAUAAAAUAUGUUAGAUUAAAAAAAUUAAAGGAGGAUGAAACUUAAAAAUAAAUAAACGUUGAAGGAUGAAGUUGGAAAAAUAUUAUUUUAAAAAAAAAACUAAACAAACCCACGUGAAUCUCCUGGACCUGAGUUAAUCCCUCAAAUUUGCAACCCGCGGAAUCCUAGAUUUUAAUUGAAAAAAUAAUAAUGAGGAUUAAAUUACAUAGGAAAAAAAAUUCAAAGAUGAUGAAAUCAUAAAAAAAAACUUCAAUUCAAAAAAUUAUUCAAAUCAAAUAAAUAACAAUUAAAACAAUAAAGACUAAAUCUAAUAGAUAAAAAAUUAAAUGAGAAUGAAAUUAAAAAGAAAUUAUAAUUUAAUAAAUUAUUUUAAAUACAAAAAAAAAUAGUAAUUAAAAAAACAUGGAUCAAAUUUGAAGAAAAAACAAAUUGAAUGAAUGAUUUUAAAUUUUGAAGAGACACGCGUGAAAACCGAGGUAGAGAGAGAAAAAAAAAACUCACUAACACCAAAUUGGAGCUAAAAACGCCACGUGCACCUCCCGGAAGGGAAUGGGUUGUUGAAACGUAUUUGACCACACCAAAGAAGCUUGUUGUUAAUGGCGGUGGAGUUCUUGAUGUACGUCUACUAUGCACGCAUUAAUGAUUUUUUAAAAAAAUAUAUUUUUUAUUUAUUAAAAAAUAAAAUUGUUCCGAAGCAAGCAUAAAUAUAAACACAAAAGAGUGAAAAGACAAUAUAGUCCCGGUGAUAGCUUAUUAUUUUGUGCCUUUUAAGGGUAUAAGCGUCCUUUCACCAUGCAAAUAAAAAGACUUAAAUGACCUUGGAUGAUAAUUGAUUAUUUUUUACUUUCUAAGGGUAUUUAUGUAAUUUUACAGUGCAAACGUAGCAAAAAAUCUUGGUUGCCCCGGUUAAUUUCACAAUGACCGAUGAACAAUGCGCAGAUAUUAUAUUACCCUUAAAGACAAGCAAAUUUUUUUUUUAAAAAAAAAUCAUUACAUUAUAACGACGUAUAAUAAACUGAGUCUUAAAACCACAAUGUUUUAACCUUCCAAUUUAGCUGUUUCGAUAUUUACAAGUAUCAGGGGUAUUUAUGGGUUUUUCAUGCUCAAAAACUAACGCUCGGCAUCUUGGAAGUUACUGGGGUCGUGUCAACAACCUCUUUAAUCAGAGAGAGUCUAUCGUAAAUUUCUAGGAAGGUAGAAACUCCAUGCUUAAUAGUAAAUAAAAUUUAUUUACGUAAGUUAUCAAGUGCGAGUACAUAUGAUAGUUACUGAAUUUACAGUAAGAUUUUUUUAUUGGACUUAAUAAAAACAAAGUGCAAACAUUAAGAAAGUCCCCUAUCUAUAAGGGUAAUUUCAAAUAAGUCCCUAACCCUUUUUUUGUCUUGAUUAUAUUCCCAAUGUAUCAACGGAUUCUUAAAUGGAUUCUUUUGCUGGUUUAAGUUAAUAGAAUAGUUAGGUAUUCGUGUGAAAAUCAUGUGAUUUUUUUUAAUCUCGUUAAAAGUCAAUUAAUUACUAAAAUCUUCUACAUCACAUGAUACAACGUAUUAUUACACCAUAAACUAGAAGAUGAGGGGAAAUUAUUAUUACUCCAUGCAUGGUAGUCUUUCUCACAAUUCACUGUGAACUUUCACAAUUGAUCUUUUUUUAUUUUAAACCUUUUUUUAAUUUUGCUAUUAAAUUGCCAAAUUAGAGGCCAAUUUAGGUUAAUUUUUAAAAAGUAGUGAGAUUAAAAAAGAAGGGAAUCAAUGUGAAAAACACAAAGAAAAUAAGUGAUUCUAACAAAGUUUACAUGAAAUGUACAUUUUAAUCCCCAAUUUUUUCCAAUUAUAAGAAUGCGGUUCCUUCAACUUUCAAAGAUUAAGAACAAAGUCAAUAUGGGUCCAAAACUUUAUUUUCCUUUCUUUUUGUCCAUUGUUUGAGAGAGGAAAGGGAAAAUGGUCGUAUUUUAAUAAUAGAGAGAAAAAGUCAUCAUUUACAUCGAUCAACACCAUGAAAAAAGGUUAUUUUACUGUUAUUGAGUUUUUUUCGUCGCUGAAAUUCGAGCAGGAGAAGUGACGCAUUGCAUGGAAAUUUUUUUUCAAAAGUUUAAGGGGUGGACGACCUCGUCCGACACUUAAGAAAAUGAAAAAAUAAAGUCCAGGCAUAAGGGUUGCUCUAGACCCGCAUGCCCGAGCUUUUUCAUUAGGCCUGUGUGCUCUGGGCCAACUAGCCCACUAACACCUGGGCUUCCCCCCCACCUCCCAAAAAAAAAAUUUACCCAUUGCAACUAGAUUUUUUAAUUGUUUUUCCCCAACUCUUGUCGGUUGAUAUUUUGUUGAUUAUUAAUUGAGCAACAUGAUUUGUUUUGAUUUGGUAUUUUUAUUUAUUAGUUGCCUCAGUAUUUAGCCAAUUUUCAAUUUUAUAAGUGUCUAUUUUAGAUAAAAAAAAAUAUUGAAAAAAUUUCUUUAGCCCAAUUAAGUUCAUGACCCAGGAGAUGAGUUUGACUGGAUAACUUUGAUUGGUUAAAAAUUGAGUUUCAUGAUUUUUUUGGUUGCACAAAUAGUUAUUGGUUUAUUUAAUUAAAUGCAUAAAUGAAUUUUUUUAUUUGUGAUUAAGAUUUUUGUUAAAUUAAAAAACAUGUAUAAAAUAUUGUCGUAUUAAGAGAAAAAAUUAUCUGACCCGCGACGAAGCACGAGUUAAGUAGCAAGUAGCUAGUAGAAAGUAAAGUAAGAGUUUUGAAUAUUUUUUUUAUAUAUAGUUUGGUAUAUCUCAUGAGUUUCAUAUUAUUCAAAACAAAGAUUUUAAAGAAUUCAUUGGUUUUUUUUUUUAAAAAAAAGGAAAAAGAAAGAAAAAUAAUGUGAAUUUCAUACGACUACUAAACAGCUUUGUCACUAAAGGUGAAUUAAGAAUCUAAUUGAGAAUUUAUAAUUAAAGAUCUAGCAAAGAUAAAAACAACAACAAAAACAAGAAUAAUAAUAGUUUGUCCGAAAACAAAUCAUAUCUCAUGUCGAUUAGCAUGUAUAACAUGGAUUCAAAUUCAAUGAAUUCUGGUUAGAAUAUGAGAUAUUGUCCCGUGAAUUUCUCACCGUGAAUGAGAAUGUUUUUUUUUUCUCUUUCUAUCCAAUCAAAAAAGUAUAUUUAUUUACUAUUUUUUUUAUAUCAUGAAUUGCUUUUUAAAGUUUUUUAAUUUAAAAAAUAUCAAGUUAAUAAUUUGUAAGUGUUUUUAAAUAGUUUUAAUAUGCUAAUAUAAAACAUAAAAAAUAUUAUUUUAAUAUAUUUUCAAUUAAAAAAUACUUUUCAAAAAAUACAAUACCAAAUAUUGGCAUAUCAUAGGCAAGUUCACACAAGAUAUCAUAUAUUAUAAUUGCAAACUGCACUGUCUAUACUCUAAAGAAAGAAAAAACAGAAGGAAUUGGAAUAUAAUUUGCAAAAUAAUUUCUAUAAAAAAUAAUAUAAAAAAGAAUAUAAAAAAGAACUUUCAAGAGCUAAACAGAAUAGCUUCCAAACGCAUUUUGAAAUUCUCUUCCAAGUUCCCAUCUCUCUUUCUCUCAGUUACUUGCCGUGGGAAGUCAUAACGAUGACGAUUUAACCGUGGAGAUGCCACAUCAGCAAGGUCAGCAACGGUGUCCGUACAGAACAGGCAGAUUGUCACGGUUUCCUGCUGAUUUUGCGGUGGUUGGAUAAAAGCAAAGUCAAUUGCGUGUUUACAAAUAAAAUUCCGAGGAGAAGUGUCUUUAUUUAUUUAUUUAUUUAUUUCCCUUUCCUCUCUAUUAUUUUUUCUCAGGCGCCAAUCGCGGCAUUUACCAUUGACCAACCGAAUUCAUCACCCGCUUCAAAGCUAGAAGAACAAAGGCCAGUCUCCAAAGGGGUCUCCACGUUUUUUAUUACUUCUUAUUAUUUUUAGGGUGGUUUUCAAAAAGAAGUAGAAGACUUCUUUUUAUUUAUUGGUUUUUUUUUACUGGGGUUAAAGUCUAAGAGGUUAUUUGGAAACGACUUUGAAACCUGUUUCUUAAUAAUUAGAUUUUUUAAUUGUUUUAAUGUAUUGAUAUUAAAUAUAUUUAAAAAAAUUUAUUGAAAUAUAUUUUUUAAUAAAAAAAUAUUUUAAAAAAUCUCAAUCUGAGUCAAAAUCUCGAUAAAUUGAGAAAUCUUGGAAUACGAAUCCAUUGCGUCACAUCUAAUUAUUAAUUGGGUACAUUAAUUUUGGGUGCGUGCAUGUGAAUUUUACAACCUUUGACGGAGACCCUGACCAUGCCAUGCUGUGCACUUCGUGUAGACCUCUGUUUUCAGAUUAAGGUGAAGGAAUAAAGAUGAACGUAGAGAUCAUGAGUGUUGACCUCAAGUACUCUCCAUGGUUUACGAAAAUGGAUUUUUAUUUAUAAGUGAUUACGUAAUUUAGUCAAAACUAGACAUGUUACGCGAUUCUUGUUUUGCUAAAGGCUAGAUAUAUUUAUUGUCUUAAAAAAAUUAUACAUGUAGAUUUUUUUAAUAUAUUUUUGUGAUUGUUCACAUAAAUUUUUUUUUAUGUAUAUAUAUAAUCAAAUAAAUUGAAAAUGAUGUGUGUGAAUAAAUAAAUAAAAAAUUACUAACUACAUCUAAAAAUAAAACUUAAAAAAUCAAGAGACAAUUAUAGAUCAAGAUAUUUAAUCUUGAAAGACAGGACGUUCAUCCACUUGUGUUUGCUAAAUUUUUUUAUUUACGCAAACAAUAAUAUAAAUAGAAACACAAAUUAAAUUGAUCGAAUAAAAUAAAAGAAAAAAACAUCAUGUAAGGCUGCACAUAUUAGAAAUAGUUUUUGAUUUUUUUUAUUUUAAAAAAUAAAGUUCAUCCAUAAAAAAACAAAAAAAUAUAGAUAAAUAAAAAACUCUUUAAAUUUAAUGUAUAAUUAAAAAAUAAUCAUCAUUUAAUAGAGACUUUCCAAACAAAAUAAAAGAGAGAAGAGGUACUAAUUUAAAUAUAAAUUAAAAAAUAGAUAAAAAAACCAUAAAAAAGGAAUCAUUAAUUUAAAAAAAUAGAAAAAAAAACUCUUUCAAUCUUACAUUUUCAAAAAAAAAUCAAAAUUAAUUAGUUUUUAGUUAGAAUUAAAUCGCCGAAAAAAUAUAUUUAUGAACCAAAUUAAAGAAACACAAAAUUUUACACAGCAGCACAUGUACAAUAAUAUAAAGAGAUUAAAAAUGAAAACAAAUAACCAAAUCUUUUUAGAGUAAUAUUUAAUGAAGUAGCUUGUUUUUUCCAAUGAUAAAAGUAAAACUGAUAAAUCAAGAGAUCUGGUCUGGACUCUCAAUUUAGUCAUUGCGGAGGCAGCUUUUGACUGUAGCCUUUUUUGAGAGUUACUUCUCUUGGCUCAGGUUCUGAUUUUUUUUUUUAAAAAAAAAAAUGGUUUAGAUUCAUAUUCAAAUGGACAAAGUAACAUUUUAUAUUGUAAUUGAUAGAUAGUGAUUGGCUACUGUAUUUUAAGACAGGAAAAAGAAAAAAGCGGAUUGAGACAGAAGGGACUGAUUCUAUCAACUAGCCAUGUUAAAUUCAGGAAGUGCCCAGUGCCUAAUGGACUCCAAAGGAUAACUACAUUUUUAACACUUCGAUAUAUUAACAAAAUUUUCAAUUACCAGUUCGAUUACCAAUCCCGAGAGGUAUAACUGAACUAAUUAAGUUUUAAAUUUGUUUUUUCAGAGUUACUAGUUCGGUGUCAUAGAACUACUAGAAAAUUACUUGGUCAUUAACUUCAUAUAAUGAUAAAAAAAGAAGAUAAUUGAGAUAAAACAAAUAUGUUUUUUUUUUGUUUUUUUUUAAAUGAUAAAAAUUCAUUGAGUGAUAAUUUAACAAAUAAAUUUAUUUUUAUCAUUUUAACCGAAUAUAUUUAUAUUCUUUAUAUAUAAAUUUCUUGUAUUUUAAGAUAUAAACCAAACAUAAUCUAAAAAGUAAUAUUAAACAAGAAUUUAAACAAGUGUUCCUCUUAAUUGAUGAUGAUUUAUUAAAAUAAAUUAUCUGUGGCCAGAAAUCCAAGGAGGCACCAAAUCUAUUUAAAUUUUUUUACAGCAAUUUAAUUAUAUAUUCUAGCACUACAACAUGUUUGCUUUGAGGCCAGUUUUUCCAUUUAAUUUUUUCGAGACCUUCACUAUUACCUUUCCGGGGGCAAGAUUAUGUUGUCAUGCAUCAAUCCAAGUGGUUCCCAUCAUGGCUAUUUCUCACGCUUGUACAAGAUUUUAUUACAGCUCGACCAUCGAUCAUCAUGUACAAAAAGGUACGCACAACAUUAUGAUCUACUUAGCAGAAUGUGGACCAUCGAUUAUGUGGACCAAUCUACCACGAGUUAAAACGGGGUUAUUAUUUGUUUUGACUUUUGAGUUCUUGAAGUUAAAUUCCAUAAUUAACUUGUAACUAAUCUUUAAUCAUUGCAUGGACCCAUCUGUCCCUCAAUCAAACGGUUGUCGUCAACUGUUGAGUGAGGGGAUUGUCUGGGUACCAAACGCAAAUUUAAGAUAAUUAUUAUGACAAGCUUGUUAUAAAGCAUUUUAAUCUCCUAGCACUGAUUAAAUUUUUUUUUUUAUCAAAGCAAAUUAGUUAUGAAAAACAUAGCUUAGCAAUUGAUCCAUAUAAUGACAUCCUGGGUCACUUCUGAUAUAAAAACUUGACUCGAAUUAAGUUUUAAUUUAAAUCGUGAAAAAACAUAUUGACCUGAAUAAAUUUGAUUAAUUUGAAAUUAACAUUAAGAAUGUUUUAUAUAUAUAUAUAUAUAUAUAUAUAUAUAUAUAUAUAUAAAAGAAAAGAGUGAAAUGAUUUCGUUUUAAUAACAAUGAUUAACUUAAUGACACAAAAGUCUAACAACUAUGAUACUAUAUCGUUGAAAUUAUUAGUUGGAUUUGGACAAAAGGCUUUAUCAAAUUUCUAGAUUUAAGACGAAAUUUCACCCAACCAAUGCCUAGAAUUUUCAAGCCUAUUGCUUGAAUCACCGUCCCUUCUUGCCUAAUUGGUUUCAUUGAUCGCAGAUAAAGCCCGCAAUACCCAUCAGAGCAAAAUCCAAUUUCAUACGUAGAUUUACACGCAAGAAAGACAUCGUAUGUGGUGGAUAGAUCACUUUUUACUCCAUUGCAUCUUUUACAUAAUGAAAAGGAAAAGCUAUAGAUUUCGUAGGCCAAGGAUUCAAGGCAAAAACAUGGAUUUUAUCUUUGCAUCUGUGUCCAAAGCGAGGCGCAGCAUAGACCCGGGAGUCUCUUGACCAGACCUCAAAAUGUGCUACAAGGAAUGUUUUUGUAAUGGAAAGCAACAAAUUAUGAUUGAGCAGGAAUCCCGGAUGCGAGCCAGAGAGUGAUUGCAUCAUUAUAAGUUGGGUCAAGUGGUCGGUCACCGGUGGCAAUCUUGGAUCCUCAUGGGCACCAAGUCUUGACGUCCGUUCAUAAAAAAAAAAAAGAGGUCUCGAUUCGUUUUUAGAAAAAAGGAAAACUACAUCUUAGGCUUCAAUUCGGCUAAUCAGGUGUUCAUAGCUUGGUCCAAGUCUUGCCGAAAAUAGUGUACUUGUCUGCAGAUAGUUUGCUUAGCCGUGAAGUGAACUUGUUCGAUAUCUCUAUCAUAUGGUCAAAUUUCAUAUCGGCACACAUGAUGAAUAAUAGACCGAAUUAUUCCUUGGAGGUUCAUGCAGGGACGGAUUUAGAGGAGCCAACACGGGUCAUUGUCCCUUUGAAGCUCCAAGAUUUUCCAAAUCUGCAUGAAUUGGCCCUCGUCGAAGCUAAAAUAUAUAUUUUGAUCCAUAAAGUUCGGGUCUUUCACUGGAUUCGUGGAUUCAUCCGUUUUAAGUUUUUUUCAACACACGAGAAGGGGGAAAUAAUUAAUUAACUUGUAGCAGAAGAGAUGGCUAGAUAAAGUUACUGAGAUGUUAUCACAAUAAAACAUAAACUAACUUGAAUUAUUAAGAAUGUUGUAGUCGAUGGCAUAGCCAGAAAUUUUCUUUGAUAGAGUCAGACAGUUAACAUCAUUUAUUAUGAACAAUUUAAUUUCUUGGAUGGAAGAUGAAUCUUAUGAUGGAGUUGAUAUUUUUUUUCAAAAUAUAUCCAGUGUAGAGUUAGAAGCCAGUUAAUAUUUGUUUGUUAGGGAGCAUAUAUAUACCUUCAAUGAUAUUAUAUAUAUACAGUCCAUAUUAUUGAUCUAAUUGUAUUUUAAUUCAGAUUUGAAUGGUUUCCUACUAUAUUUUGUAUUUAAUUAAAUUUGCUACUUAAAUUUUUCAUGUGUAAUCCUUUAGCAUUAUUUGUUGUGAUAUUUGUACAAGUUAAUUUUUAAAAAUACCUUUUGUUAUGAACAAAUAGUUGUUAAUUCGAGGAUCAUAAUAAACAAAAAAAAAAAUUAAUUGAAAUCUCUGAUGAAAUUGCCUUUUUCACCUGUGAUUCCGCAUAAAUAUUCAUGCCCGUUCUAGAACUUUAGGCAAAACCUAUAGAAAGUGUAGGAACUCAGUGAGUGAAUCGCCGACAAAAUAUUUUGUCAAAAAAACAAAUGUUGAUGAAUUUGCUGAUAAAAAAUGAGCGGUAAAAUAUAAUUUUUAAACUUGAAAAUUACGUUCAUGAUUCUCAAUGUAUUAAAAAUUACUGAUGAAAUAAAAAACUUAACGAGAAACUUUCCGGCUACAAUAUUUCAUCAGCAAGUUUCAGUGCCAACAAAAUAUUCAGUACUAUAUAUAUCGGGUUUUCUCGAGAAGCGACACAAACAUGGAGGCAAUAUUCAUCCUUUUUUUUUUUUUUUUUUUUACGAUGGGCCCUUGAAACACCUCUUUGUUAAGAAGAACCUAACCGGUAAGUUGUAAAAAUUCUACAUUUAAAAGUAAUUUUUUUUUAAAAAAUUGACAAUUUGUUUUAUUUUAAAAAUAUGUUUAUUGAUUAAAUGCAAAUUAAUUUGGAGGAAAGUUUUUCCAAGAAAUCUCCAGCCUCCAGGAUUGAAGCUAAUGGUCAAAGUCAACUACCACUAAUCAUCUAAAAUUGAUGGAAGUUCUCAAUUAAUACAAUUGAAAAGGUUGAUAUCCUAAUAUUUUUUUUAAAAAAAAAACCACCGUGUUCAAUCAAAAUACAUGAAAAUUUGGUGCACCAACAAUGUACUUUUCUCUCUCUGUUUUUUAUUUUCUCUACCUUUUUUACCCCCCCUCCUACAAGCAUGCACUUGGAAAAUUUUAUUAAACUCUCUCUCCCAAUCCUCUGGGACCAUUUAACAAACACCUAGUGCAAAAUCUUCCUCUCGAAAAAAUAUCACAAUAAAGCAACUUUAGACAACCCAGAAAGUCUGGGGGCGGUGGAUGUUUAAUUGGUGGCAACGGUUGUUUGCAACCUUGAUCGAAGAUUUGCGACGGUGGUGGUUGUUUGUGUCACUGUUGGCAUUAGUUGUUUACAUCAGUGGUGGUAAUGGUGAAGUGGUUGUUUCAAUUAGUAGUUUGACAGUGGUGGUGGUUUGAGAUGAUAUUGAUAUAUAGUUUUGACCCGUCAAAAAUCUGAUUAUUCCAUUGUUGUGUUGGUUGAGUGGAUUUGUUCAUCUUAUUGCUGGAGUUGAUUGAAUUUGAUACGGGCUGUUGUUAUGAUGAUAUUUGGGUGACAAUAUUAUUUUUAAAAAAAUGUUUUUGUUUUUAUAAGAUAAUUAUUAUAUUUAAACCCAGUAUUUAUUCAAAAUGAGAUGUUUUUACGUUAAUUUCUUAAGGAAAUCCCAUUUUGAGUCUUUGACCAACGACAGUACUGCAUUCUAAAAUUGUUUGUAGUUUGCAAGUGACAAUACCUUCUGUUUUUUUUCAAUGUAUUUUAAAAAUAUAUAUAUAUUUUAGUAUUUUUGUAUUGAUAUCAAUAAUAUAUAUAUAUAUAUAUAUAUAUAUAUAUAUAAUAUUUUUGAUGAAUUUUCAAGAAUUUUUUUUUAAAAAAAAAACACCCUAUACUACAAUACUAAACACAAACUAGGAUGAGAAAAUAGAGAUUUUUGAAUUUACUAAUUAAUGAAAAAGUAAUUCUGAAUUUAUUAUCUCAAGACCAUGGAAAAAACCUUUAGAAAAAGAUGUCAUCAUCGAGGAUUCUUGACAAGAAUGCUCCCAAAUCAUUACUAUAUAAAGGCUUCAACCUUGAUUAUUUGUGAUCUCCCUUCUAGAUUUUCUCUAUUCGUAGCUUUUCUUUGCAAUAAGAUAAAAAAGAAUUUAAGGAUACAUAUAACUAGCUAGCUAGUCCACAGCUUUACUAAGAAUUUUUAUUUUUAUUUAUUUUUUUUCAAAGUAGUGCUAGGGACUAGGGAGGAUGGUGUGAAAUAAAUGCACUCGAUCGAGUCAAAUACAAUCUGGACAUUGAAAAGGUGAAAUCCUCAGUCAAAUGAAAAGUAUUUUGAAACUGGCAAAUUUCCACAUGCAAAUUGUCAACGUGUCAUAGUCACUAAUUAAACUCUUCCUACAUGGAUUUAUAAGCCAUGACAUGGACAUUAAUUGAUCGUAGAGCUAGUUUUUCUUGGUGCUUGCAUUUAAUUUGCAUAGUUUCAUUUAAUCUUUUCACAAUUCACAUUGGUAGUGUCGAAACUACUUUCCCAUUACUUUCUAUAUAUAUAUAUAUAUAUAUAUAUAUAUAUAUAGUUAUUUCGUUAUAUGCUUUUACAUGGAUGGAAUACGACAACGCAUCACAGCUUUACAUGGAUGGAAUACGACAACGCAUCACAGCUAGACCAAUAUGAGAAUAUUCGUUCCAUGAAUUUUCGCACAUUGACAGAUAAUUGAAUAUCAAUGGAAAAUGUCCCUGUAAAUAAUAAUUUGAUUUGAUUAAACAUGAAGGAAAAAAUCUAUUCAUAUUUAGGUAUUUAUUCUUUUAUAUAUAUAUAUAUAGUUGAUCUUUCUAAACAAGUAAACUCAUUCAACUUCUGGUUAGAUUCAUGAAUUUAGAAUAAUAUGUAUUAUUGUCACACUUAUGAGUAUUUAAUCAAAUAAUUUUGUCUAAUUUAGUCAACUGAAUUAUAAUUAAUCAACAUGAACAAUUAUUAGAAACAUCGGUUGAGUAUUCAUGGGAAUUAAUUACAAGGGGAAUUCGUUUUUAUAUUCACCGUUAGUUGAUGAUCAAAUUGAUCAAAGAGUAAGAUUGUUUUUUAUAUAUAUAAAAAAUCGUUAUUGAUCAAUUCCUCAUUGUAUAUACUUGUGAUUAUAAUUGCUGCGUUUACCAUUAUUAAAAAGCAGAUUCAUGCUCUUUAGUCCAACAUGCAGACACGUUAUGGAAUCUCCAUGGCUAAUAUAGCUAGCAAGACAUCAUUGAUCAUAUAGCAGUUCGAAACCCAUGCACUAACGCAAAGCACAAAAUUAUAUCAUAUAUGUUAAAUUGACAAAAAUAAAAAAUAUAACUAGAUUAUCAAAAUUUACCCGAGUUAACAUAUCAAACUUAAGUCAGGAGAUAA
rnacentral:lncRNA from 1 species